rnacentral:lncRNA from 1 species
AAAAACAUGCAUGUGGUACCCCAUAAGCAUAACAAACUAUCUUCAUGAGCUAGUGAUAGAACAUGGUAAUUAGAAACAUCCAUUCUCUCCCAUAACCAACAUCACGAAUGUCAAACACGGAAAAGAUCAAAAACUACAAUCAAGGACAUCAACUCUUUCUGAUACAAUUCUCAAAUUCUAGUAACCAGAGGUUCAUGUAGCACUUGCAUACACACGCAAAUUUAUUAAUAGACAAUACACCGCCAUGAAAACUAAACAUUUCCUGAUUAAAACAAGAAGAUAGAUUACCAAACCACCUGAUUAGGCUGCCCGUAUGAGCGAACCAUUCCAGGGCUGACUUACUAAUGGAGAAGGAUAAGUUGACUUUAGCCAUCAAGGCAGGCCUAGCCGACGGUUGCCUGGACGAGAGAAAACAACCUGCAUGCAGUAUAUAUAUGUCAGCCACUCAGACAUCACAAUCAGUGCCUGGAAUGUGAAGGCUCAGACAUAAUUAUUUUGGCAAUGUCCUGAAACUUUUACCACUAACAUUUUAAUUUGAUAUAUGAAAAUCACGCAAUUAGGUCUUCCCAAGAAAACACUGUCACCAUUUAAAAAUUUAUUAAUUUCAUCAUUUAUUGCACUGAAAAUAAAUGGUUGCUAUAUUUGGGAGACCCUGUUGAUUUCCAGUCAUAUUUUUAAGAUCCGAGGGAGUAUAUGACUUCCAUUUGUCUCGAAAUAACAUAGGUAAUCAUAUGGAUGUGGAUUCCAGUCAUAUUUUUAAGAUCCGAGAGAGCAUGUAUACAUACAUAAAUACGUACCUGGUAAUCUCCAACUGCCCGUGACUUGAAACCAGCCGCAGAGUACAUGAGGUAAAACUCCCAUAUACGGAUGAACUUCUCAUCAAAGCCCAGUUCCAAAACUUGACUGCAAGAAAACGAAAGCAGUAAGAAAUUAAUACUAACUGAACAACCAACUGUAACAAUAUAUGUAUAUAAUCGUCACAGCAGCAUUCUUCUAUAGUGAAUGACAAGUGAUACUUACUCUUUGUUGGCCAUGAAGUUGUCCCUCCAGUGCAUCAGAGUUGUGUAGUAGUUGGGCCCAAUAUUCUCGACAUGCUCUAUGCUGUACCCAGUGCGCAACAAGGUUAGGUAGUGUUUAAUGGAUGGAGAUCCAUCCAUGACCAUGAAGUAACCAAUCAAUCAUUGAUCAAUUGUUGUAAAACGUACCUGAACCUUGAUGACGUGGUCAUGGCAGACAUUACACGGGCCAAAGAAGGAAUGCAACCGCCAGGGAAUAUGUAUUCUUUGACGAAGUGUGGCCUUCUUCUGUAUUGCUCGUACCGUUCCUCUGCAAUUGAGAUGAACUAAACACAGAUGUAUAAUGGUUAGUUCAUGAUCGUGUAGACCUAAGGUCUUGCUUGGAUAUAUAUAGUAAGGAGUAUCUUUCAUUUGGCUUUCUGCGAAAUCAAAAAGAAUAAGGUCUAAUACUUGUUAUUAUGCACCAAAAGUAAGGCAUACACUACUUAGUUGCGGUUCUUGAUGAUAUUGGAAUUCAGCCGUGAAAUCAUUUCAAAAUAUACUUAGUUGUUGAUGCACUAACCUGGAGGACCAAUAUGCCAUCUUCAGCCAAGUAAGACUCGCAGCAGGCAAAAAAUUCGUCCAUGUAUUCAUGGCCAACAUGUUCAAUCAUUCCACUGAUUCACACCAGAGGAAUACGUAAGUAUAACCACGCACACGGGUGGUGUCAAAGUCACAGAAAGCAUCCGUAAUAUAGUAGUACUUACCAGCUUAUGAUUGCGUCAUACUUGUAAGGUGGUAUUAGGCGAUAAUCACACAAGAGAAAAGUUAUGCGGUCCUAAAAAUUAAUAGCAAUAGAUAGUAGAAUUGUUAGCUAGGAUUUCACCCUGCCGAAGCUGAGACAAAAGAAUAAUAAUUCUCUGUGCAUGUCUAUCGAUAUAUUCAAUAAUAUAUUAAAAAUACAUAACAGGCUAACCAGGAAGAGAAAAAAGGUGUGCUAGAUAAUCUCAAAAAUAUAUAUAACUGUUGAUGACGUAGACCGGCAUAAUUACGCAAAUUUUAACAGCCUAGAAAUUAAACUAGUUUGAUUUUAGGGGAGAUGUAAAGUUGCUUUUUUUAGAAUAAGACAUAAAGUUACUAGAUCGAUCGCUGUGUAUCAAAGCUUUCAAGGCUCAACAUGACCCGCCGCCUAGGAAGUCCAUGAAAAAUUGUUUUCCGUAGCCAUGAAAAAAGAUUCCAAAAUGGAUACGUGUUUGGAUCCGUAUAAUGCACCAUUUCCAUGAUUUCCAUUGCGCACGUCUAUUAUUUCCACGUGCCAUUCUUGAAUUAUAUUUCUCUUUCACGGGAGAUAUUUGGAGUAAAUUUGACUCCGUUCAAUCCAAAUACUUAGAGAAAUCUUGAUUAACAAAAUUUUGGUUCCUAAUUAAUGAACAACUCUUCGUGCCAAAUUGCACAAACGCAUUAAUUUUGUCGAGAUUCAAAGUGAAUGUUAAAAAUGUCAACAAAAUUCCACCUAUGCUGGAGUUCGGAGUGAAAUCUUGUAUAUAUAUUUGGCACAUGUGUGUCAUAUAAGCAAAACUGCCACACCUAUACUUCUUUCACUUUAAAGUACCAUAUGGCCCCCCUUCCUUCGACCCCACCUUCUCCCGAAAGACCCUGCAGGCUCGCCCAAGAAACCUGUUUCUCCCGCACAUCUCGCGCGCCUACCCCCGAGAAAACUACCACUUCUUCACGUCUACCACAUGAUAAAAAAAAUAUUGCGCAUGUGGGAUUGAAACCCACACCUCCUUGGCACCAAAGCGCGCCACCACAACCAACUCACCCUUAGGUAUUUAUUGCUCAAACUAAAGAAACUAAUCGUUUUGAUCCUUUUUUUUACAAUUGUGUUACUACAAAAAAGUACAAAAACUUACCACGAUUUUCCCUCGGGACAAAGUUACCAUGGUAUUCGCAUGCAACUUAUCAGGCCCGUGUUGCAUCAGUUACCGUGCUAUUUACAUAGAACUUACCAGGUACUAUGUUUCAACAACAACACCCCUUUCAAAGUUACCACUGUGUUUUGUGCAAGUUAUAAAGUCUUUGAUGUGUAAAAUACCGUGGUACUUACACAUAAGUUAUCAGGGUAUGUGUACAUCAACCUCGCCCCUGAUCAAAGUUAUCAUGGGGGAUUGUGCAUGAGUUGCCGGGUCUACAGUUCGUAUAUUAUCAUGGUACUUACACCUAAAAACCUGGGUGUGUUUCGGUAACUUUUUCCAUAGGUCAAAAAUUACCAUGAUGUUUUUGCGUAAAUUAUCACGCCUACAGCGGGUCAAAGUGGGCCGUUUUUUGGGCCAACCCACGAGAACGUGUGCCCCUCAUGACACUAAACAUUAUGUGGCUUUUUUGUGGCACAUCAUGUGUUGUGUUCAUCUAAGAGGCCUUGCGAGGCGAGUGUAUGUUUUUAACAACUUGCUUUUCUUUCGUAAAAAGUUACCUUCAUGUUUAUAUUGUAAGUUAUCGGUUAUGCGGUGCUUAUAUUAUCAUGUUAUUCACAUAAAAAUUAUCAGGGAUGUUUUGAACAACUUUUUCCCGGGACAAAAGGUUAUCAUGGUAAUUCUAGGUAACCUAUCAAGCCCGCGGUGCUUAAAAUAUCAUACUAUUUACACAAAAUUUAUCAGGGGUAUGUUUCAGCAAAAUUUUCCCCAACGGUCAAAAACUUAUCAUGGUGUUUAGUUAUCACAGUGCAUAUGUUUUCAUGCUAUUUACACAUAAAAAUAUCAGGGGAGGGAGGUAUAGUACCGCGCUAUUUACACAGAAGAUACCGGAGUAUCUUUUCAAAAAAAAAUCUUCCCUAUGGUCAAAGUUACCAUGGUGUUUCUACCUCAGUUAUCAGAUGUGCACUGCGUAUAUUACCAUCUAUUUACACAUAAAUUAUCUGGUAUCUUUUCACAUUUUUUCUUCCCCAAUGGUUAAAGUUACCACGAUGUUUGUAUCUAAAUUAUCAGGUCUAUGGCGUGAAUAUUAUCGUGCUAUUUACAGAGAUUACCGGGGGCCGGGUUCAACAAAUUUCUUCCCAAUGAUCAAAUUUACCACCAUGCUUUCACCAAAGUUAUCACGCCUUCAAUGCUUAUGACCAUGAUACUUACACAUAAUGUACCGCGUGGUAUAAAAAAGUUAUCAUGUUGGUGGCGCGUCAUUUAUCGUGAUGGUGAUGGAGAAUUUACCAUGGGAAAAGUUUAUGUGCCAGGUUUGAUAGGUGAAACAAAAGUUUUUCAGUGCUAAAAUAUUAAAGGCAAAACAUGUCAAAAACAGUAUUUUUCCUUAGCUUGUUCAACAAUCAGUGUCAUAGGUGAGGUGGUUAGCUCCCUUCGUUGAUUACCUGUAGACCAGAGAUCAAAUCCCAAUUCAAGUAUUAUUUUUGCCCAAAAAUCUGGAAGGCGCGCAGGGCCGUAACUGAUGAUUGAAAGGAAGGAAAUCAGGAGGGCGGGAAAGGAAGGAGAUCGGAAGGACGUGCGGAAAGGAAGGAGAUCAGAAGGACGUGCCGGAAAGGAAGGAGAUCGCGAGGACGUGCGGGAAAGGAAAACUGACGGUGCUGGAUGCGUGUGGCAGUUUUGCAAUCUGCCACACGGUUGCCACUUACAUAUUUCGAUAUAUAUAACAUUCAGUUUUCAAUGGAGUCAAUUGUUGAGCAUGGUACUCUAAAUCUGGAUACAUGUGGGCCACUGAUAAUCCUAAGCACUAAACAGAGAGUACAAAAAAUGCACAACGCAGAGAGAGGCAAUGAGCGUGUAAGGGAAAGCUUCUAUCACUGAUGAUUUCCUAGCAUUUAUUUUAAACGAGAUGGAAACUAUGGUUAUGCAUAAGCUAGAGAGUGCUGCUCCGAAAAUUGCUAUGUUUUCAACUCUCUCAGGCUGAGAAAGAUCAAAGUCAUGGGGCAUAAGAUCCAGGAAGCAGAGAACUUGACAGUGUUGGACAGGCUUGCUGACGAGGAAAAGGAUAUGGAAGAAGAAACUGGUGGAGAUAAAGAGGAAGCAUGAUGAGAUGAUGGACAGUUUUUGAAGGGAGUCAAAGAAGCGGGGCGAAAGCCUGUUUCGAGAGAAGGGAGUCAAGACAGAGUACAUUUUUCACAAGAAGAGGAACUGGUAGAAUCCUAUUAAACUGAUGCGCUAGCCAAGUUUCUCAAAAGUGAGGCGGGCAAUAUAUUUCAAUACUCCAGAUCAACUCAAACGUCUAAUAUUGAAUUCAAGGCUGUGGACUUACAGGAAAACCUUAGACGUGUGAUUGAGAUUAGAUUGCAACUAUUUUCAUAUUAAAUAGUGUGUUGGCCAGGAUUUGAUCCCGAGACCUUGUGGCCCCGAUACCAUAUUGAACUGAUGCUCUAGACAAGUCGCUCCAAAAGUCUGAAUUGAUGAAGGAAGGCAACGUAUUUUCACACUUCUCACGUCUAGGAUGUGCACGUACAAGAAGACCUUAGACGUGGGACAGAGAUUAGAUCAAGUUUCUCAAAAGUCCGAACUGAUGGAGGGAGACGGACAAUACUCAAGACUUCUUAGCUCGGAUACCAUAUUGAACUGAUGCGCUAGCCAAGUUCCUUAAAAGUCCGAACUGAUGGGAAAGACUAGGCAACGUAUUUUAACAAUUUCUUUGGAAAAUCUGCUGUGAGGGUUAUUGGGGAUGGAUGAAGCUAAGACUUUACAAUAACCCAAGCAUCAAGGUCGCUACAUAAGAUGGGUGAAUGGAUCACCGUUGGCCACUCAGUUACCUAGACUGUAUAGUGCUACCUUUUCCAAGCUGGUGACUGUAAAGAGUGUAAAAGAGGAUGGCUCGGGUUACAUCGGGUUCAAGAGAACUUCAUGGGGUGAGUAAAACUGUUCUACAAUGCACAGACUUCAAGAGGCUGCUAGGUGAGAUUGAGUUGACUGAAGAAACAGAUAUAGUAAAUGGAGGAUUGACAAUCAAAACAAGUUGACAGUUAGGGAUUUGUACAUGCAGCUUAGAUCAGUGGGGAAUUUGAAUUAUAGAUUCAUGUGGAAGUUGAAAUCUUCUCAGAACAUCAAGAUCUCUUAUGGUUGAUGCUAAAAGUAGUAUUCUAACCAAGGAUAAACUACUUAAGAGAGGUUGGAGUGGAAAUGAUCAAUGGUGUUUCUGUUGACACAAAAACUGUUGAUCACCUGAUGUUUUUUGCUGUUUAGGAAAGUUGAUACGGCAAGUGAUUCUUUGUGCCUUCGACCUUGUUAGACCCCCUAACAAUAUUGAUCAUCUAAUUGAUGGGCGGAUUGAUGUGCCCCAGCGCAAACUGGUGCUUUGUGGGGGAGCAGCAAUAUGUUGGACAAUUUGGAGACUAGAAACACAGCUUUAUUCAAACAGCAAUAUCCUAGUGAUCUAGCUACGGUGAUUUUCAGCCUGAGCAGCAACCUUGACGCUUGGGUUAAUUUGUAAAAAGAACAAGAUCGAAGAAAUCUUGAAGAUGGGAUAUUGAGGGUAAAGCUGGUGGUCAAAGAAGCUCAUGCGAGAAGACAUGCAUGGGUGGGCGCCAAUGAUUGGCGGGUUAACGAACUAAUGGAAUUGCUUAAUCCUGAGAAUUGUUUCGGGCUGUUGGUUCCUGUGUUCCUGGCUCUGUAAUAAGUAGUAGUUUUUUAAGCUGUUAAAAAGUAGUAGCUGGUUUUGCAAACUGCUUUAUGCUGCUUUGUUAGCUGUAUCAGCUACAAGAAAGAGUGGGGGUCUAGAGGAUAAAAAUGCCAAAAAAAAUUGCAGGUAAAAAAUGCUAAAAUAUCCACACUACACUUUCUCAAUGAACAGAUAUGGUGGAAUGGUAAUUACUGAUAAACUUGUAAACUGGACAGGUAUUGAGUAAAGGAGGGAGUAACAUAGAACUAACCUCUAGGCCAGCUUCUCUUACUUUACUCUCGGCGUAUUUAAGCUGCUCCUCCGACAAAGUAACUCCAGUGUAUUUGCAGCCAGUUUGCUUAACCACUUGUAUUGCUAAACUUCCCCAGCCGCUACCGAUAUCAAGAACAUGAUGCUCCCUCUCAACUUUAGCCUUUGUUAAACAUAUAUUUUGCAAGAAUGAAGUACCAUCAGAUCAUUUUCACAACAUUGUCUAACUAGUAAUCAAUCUAAUCACACGAUCUCUGGAGAUAUGGCGGUAUUACCUUGUCGAUUAGAAGGCUCAGUUUACGUUGCUGGGCUGCUUCUAAGCUUUCGUUCUCCAUCUAUCAAUUAAUUUCAGUCUAUGAAUUAAUAAAAUUGCCCUACAAAAUUUACAAGCUGCGGAAAAUAAUCACAAGAUUUACAAACCUUGAAAACUGCGCAUGAGUAAGUCAUCGAUUUAUCCAGAAAAAGCGAGAAGAAAUCAUUACUCUGUGCACAUAUACAAGAAAAAAGAUAGAACUAUUAGCACUAUUUGGUACCCCAUCUGUCCCGUAAUAUAAGAGCAUUUUUGACACUACUAGUCUGUGCACACACUACCUCCGUCCCAAAAUAAGUGACUCAACUUUGUACUAGUGUAGUGUUAAAAAACGCUCUUAUAUUAUGGGACAGAGGGAGUAUGUUAUUAUAGAUGCAUGGAAAGUAAUUAAUUAUAAUAAAUCCUUUUGAUAAGGUUUGGAACACAAAAAUUUCAACUCGAUAAGAUUUGCAAUAAUUCUGGUACUCCCUCCGAUCCAUACUUUGUACUAAAUCAACGACAAUUAAUACGUAUCCGAGGGAGUAUUACAAAUUGCCCUAAGCAGCUAGUUAUCUCAAUAACAAAAGAAGAGACAUGAGGACUGACAAGAUCAUAAUGCUGAGAGAUGUUUCGACGAGUUUGUGUUGCGGUGUUCUUCCUCGAGGCGUGGCGCAAAACGUAUUUAGCAUAUGACAACAGAGCCAUUACAUAGAAGGGUGACCCCCAACGCCUGCAAACCAAACAAUUUUGUGUACCUGAUCAGUCACACGCAUAGAUUCAUAGGUUUUACUUUAUUUUUAUAUUAAAAGAAAAAAACGAGGAUAGGAACAUAGUGGACAAUUGAAGGUUUCAGAACCUUUUUCUGGCAAUGCCGCGGCUCCUACGCUCAUCUCUGUUAGCAAUGAGAAUCUGCGAAGAAAUGGAUCAUGGAUUUGAUCUGAAAUGAAGAAAUACCUCUAUCAAUAAGCUCAUGGGCUAUGAUAUAGUUUUACCAGGAUAAAAUUCAGAAGGCCUUCUCUCUUGUCAAGACAAGAGAAAUAGCCGUUAAUAUAGGCUUCUCCCAAGCCGAUCUCUCCUUCUGUUGUAGCCUGAAAGCCAUGAGAGAGCUAGGAUAACCAUAUGCACUUGAAAUGAGAAGGUUGGCCAAAGCAAUUGCAGUGGAGCUUAUAAGAAAUUAAGAAUUAUGCAUAAAUGACCAAUCAUAAAAAAUUAAAGAUGCGUGUGUAGGCAGAAAAAAGAAGAGAAGAUAACCUUCCAAUAGAACAAGGGGUCAUGAACUCGCACAACAGAUUUUACAGGGCAUUUGUUGCAAGCUUUACCAAAGCUGAACACACUACCUCCCGCUUCAACCAAUCUGUACAAAAACUAUUAAGGUGAACAAUAAUCAUAAUUAGGUGUCGCAUAUCAUUUCGACUCAUGCAAGGACUCACAUCAAGUUACCGAUGGAUAUGUAUUGCAUGAAAAAUCUUGCAAAUGCAAGGCGUGCCCCAGCCACGGUCCAUGAUGGAAUGAUCUGCUUUGGGUACAACAGAAGCUCGCAUUUCUUUCCAAGCAAACCUUGAGCUGCUGCUUUCCCAGCCUGUUGAUUCAAUAUGACCAACAGAAAUGGACCUCACAUAACUAGUUCAUGUCAAAUGCAUUCUGAUUAUGCGAUUGAAACUAAAAGCGUAUAUGUCAGGGUGGUGUAAACAGCCCCAAUAGAUGAAUAAAGGAGAAGCAUGGAAAUCUAGUAGCUUGGGCCUUAAGGCAACUAGAGGUAAGCAAGGAUAUGGUUACUUAUGGUUAUGAUAGGAUUAAUACCUUUGUUAGAGUUUAUUUUUUCGAAAAGGGGCGCUUUAUUACUUAAAAGGUUUAAGCAUUACACCCGGCCUCUGCAUAACUAUGAUGCACACAGCCAAACAAGCGACAAUCUAAUCACAGUUCCUCCCGUCCCUUUUAUCCUUAUCAUCAUACUCCCUCCGUCCCAAAAUAAGUGUCUUGAGCUUAGUACAAAUUUGUACUAGAGCUAGUACAAAGUUGAGACACUUAUUUUGGGACGGAGGGAGUAGUACGGUUCACUAUGCACGAUACCUAACUCUAAGGGGAAAUGGAUAGGUUGUGCAUGUAAAUACCAUCAAUCCGUCUUCAUGGAAUCCAUGACCUGCGAUCCAAGGCAGAACAAACAUUUGAGAUCGAAUGCUUUUCACAUCAUUUCACACCUAACUUUAAUGUAGUAAAAGUCUGUCGUACAUCUAUAUACAUGCAAGUUGUUACGAACAAAUCAUCCACAAACUGAAAUUCAUGGAACAGGUUACCUUGAUAUGCCCCACAGAACCAUAUUCCUCUCUUUCCCUGGAUCUGAUCAAGCUGAAGAUAAGCCUUCGCCGCGGCCGCAGACGGAACAGGGAGGCUUAUAUUCCAUUUAAGCAGUACAUGAUCCGGAACACCAGGAGGAUUGAGUGUCACCAGGAAAGGCCUGACAGAUUCGAUUUUCUACAAAAGCAAAACAAAAAAACACAGUAAAUAAUUAUGUAAUCCAUUCAUGCUGUUGAGGUUAGAGCUUCCAUUUUGCUGUUAUCCUGUGAGCCUCCUCUACAGUGUGUUCUAACGUGAUGAAACAUCUUUGUUUUUUAUCCUUUGGUUCCUUUUCUUUUUGCUGGGGAGGCAUGCCUAGUCCUAAGGACAUCUAACGCGCACAAAAUGGUUUCAGUGUCGUAAAAAAAGGCAGGGCAGGGCCAUUUCGUCAACAAAUGUGUCAUCAAUAAAAUUAAUUCAUUGUACCAAACCAUGCAUAUGAAAAGAAAAGAAUUUACCUGAAUUUGGUUUAGCCAGUAAGUUACAGAAAAGCCCCUGCUAGUUGUCCCCAGGAAAUUCCAGGCACUCCAUGCCGAUGGAUUUCGGGGCAUCAGAUUUUGAUCGCAGUGGAGGUAUAUAUCCCUGAAACAUGAACAUAUCAGACAUUCAGUAGAUCAAACUUUAUCUAUGUGUUCAUUUAGCAACACUAGACAGGCUUUACCUCUGGACAUACUGACAAGCACCUAGAAUUCUCAGUUCCUGGUGUGUGGCUUCAGCUCCUAAUACUUUCAGAGCAUUAGGUGCAUGGACCCCAAGGAUGACACUGUCGAAUGUUUCCUCUGAACCAUCAUUCUCCAAGACUCUGUAGCCAGCUGCUACCAGUGCCAAAACAGAGGAUUGUUUCAGCCCGUGAAUCAAUCAUAUAUAUGAUGACUAAUUGUUUGUACAGGCAAUCAACAAACAAUAACGCAUAUAUGUACCUCCAUCAAGACUUGAAACAGAUUUGACCCGGCAGCUGGUUUUAAUUAGACAGCCCAUGCUCUCCAAUUCUCCUUUUACCUGCAAUAAUUGCAAUGUUCGGUCCCUGUAUUUGGUUGCAGCUAAAACCUAAAGAGUGUAAUAUUUACAAUGUGCAACCUCUGUUGAGGCUGAUGGAUCGCAAUGCAUACCUUGUUUACAUAGGACUGUGAACGAGGCUUGACAGUGGGCAACUGGGUGUGACGAAACAGCUGAGUGCACAGAUUUAAUCAGCUUUCAAAUGCACAAAGACAAAUGCAAUGGGAAAGGAACAUGCAUACGAAGUAGCAAGGCACCUGAAGAAGGUCAUUGUUUCGGCAAAAUGACAGCACAAAGAAAGCAGACAGGCUCAAAACAUCUUGUGGUGAACAUGACCACAUGCCUGUGCAGACUGGAAUCUGCACCAAAUGUACAUUUUCGUGUCACUAACUCAAAACUGCAUAGAUAAUUAAACACGCAGCCCUAAUCACAACACAAUGCGUGCAUAUCCAUAAAUUUCUGUUCUUUUUCCAUGGUAAUACUCACAAGAAAGUUUCUACAAGCUAAUAACCAGCCUUACUGCCCCUGCACCCAUGUUGGAGUGAAAACUAGCCAUUGAGGACUAAGCCCAGAUUUCAGUUAUAACUUGAAUAUUUCAUCUAAUUUUUUGGUACUUAUUUGAAAAUUGUAGUUUAUCUUCACAGUUUUACAUGACUAUUCAAAAACAGAAUUGAAUACAGAAUUCUGAUGUGAGAUUUUGCCAAAUGAAGGGUUGCUGGAUACACUAGAAGAUGACAUAAGCAAGUAGAUUAGAUAGAAGCAGUACAAGAUAAUCCUCUUGAAAUGAUAGGGAAUAUCCGUGCGACUGAAUGAACUGCCCCAAUGUCUCAUUACGGUUCAGAUCAGGGCUGUGUUCGUGGUCCUCCAGGUACCUUCAUUUCAAAGAUCACACCAGCGAAUUAACUUUCAUCAUAUAGUAUAAACACACGGCAUCUAGCUACUAACGGAAAUAAAUAUAUGCACAUGAGAACUGAGGGACUAGACUGCUUACGUCAGAGCAUCAUUCUUGAACUUGAUUAUCUCACGGACCAUGCGCCAAAAACUGGGUUUCAGUAUGUUGGUCUUUUGUGCCAAGAGGCCCGAGAUACCGUUGCCAUUGCCCCACUCACAUCCUCUGCCGCUGUCUUUCAAUUGUGUGCUCACUGAGAAAGACAUGUCCGAUCUUUCCAUCUCCACCCCGAGCCCUUCUAACCGUUCCAUCAUCUGGGGAUAUGUUACCUAUGUUGACGCAUAUAGCACAACAAAAAUGUUAGUGAGGAACAAAAUAUAGUAUCUUAUAAUGUAGGUUUACAAAGACCUUCCAUGUUCAGUCCAGGGGUUAGGAAGUCCUAUAUUAAUCAGAGAAAAAUAAAAAUAUCAAUCAACAUGUACAACAAGUCAACAACAACUGCAUUCCCAACCAUAAGCAUUACAGUACUAUAUCGGAGGGAUCAAGAAGUGCGGCCAAUGCAGAUCCCUUCAAAGGAUAAUACUUACGCUAGUGUUGUACUCAAUUUGGGCAUUUUGCUACGGACCAUACACAAUCAGUCCACCUCAACACAGAAACAUAAAUCCACACGCAAAACUCUCCAUUUGAGCUCGCUGAACCUAACAAUUCUGAAAAAAAAAAUCUUUUUUUGAGUUUUGUGCUUAGAAGCACUCCACCGAGCACCUUCAGUGCGAUGAGCAGGUAGGCACGAACAGCACUGGAAAAAUAUAGCGCAGAUCAAGCCUGGGUUGCCUGACCUCGCGUGGCUACUCGAUUGUGACGAUGGCCAGCUGUGUCGGAGCCCGACGGGAGUGUUAGAACUAAUCUUGAUAUUUGUAUCAGCAUGUUUAUUUCGUUUAGGCAUGUAAUGUAGGUUCAGAAGUUGUAGGUCGGCAAGGGUUCAGCGGAGGCGUGCGAAAAAGGCGAGAUGCCAAGCUGUCGUGCGAGACGGCGAGCAUGGCGAGAUGCCGAUGGCAGCUAGAGGCUGCAAAGCUGCGCGAGGCGGCAAGCGCGUGAGAGGUUGGAGCCGGACCGGCUAAGCACUUGGUAGGAGCCAAGUGAUUUGCUUAGUUUGUUAGCUGCAUGAAACUAGUUAGUUGUGUGGGCGUGCAAGCCGCUGGCAAGGUCAUGUGUGGCCGUUAUGGGGUGCAGCGCAAGUGCGAGACUUGUGCAUGUAGAUAGGAAUCAGUUAGCAGCCAGGUCGUCUGAGUUAGUGGCCGGUGUGGCGUGAGUGCAUGCAUGCAUGUAGGUAGUGCGUUAGUGCAUGGAGGUCAUGCUGUUAGUGGAGAAGUGUGGCCGCUGGAUGCGUGAGUCUCUGACCCUAUAUAAGGGAUGUAAACCGUGUUGUUUCUUUGAGCCAAGAGAAUAGAAAGAGAAGAAAAGGCCGGCAGUGUGAGGCUCCGGCCACCAAAUUUCUUGCGCCUCCAUUGUUGUAUAUGUGAGCUGUGAGAGGCAGCCACCGAGGUAGAAGAAGAAGAAGCGGCGCUGCGAGAGGGCGGCGCCAACAGGGAGCUGCUUCAAAGGACGGUGCCAGGACGCUGCAGUAGGCGUAGGCAGAGGGCCGCAAAGAGGAAGCUUCGUGGCGUUUCCGAAGCAGCAUAGAAGGAAUCGGUGGGCGCACCUCAUCCGAGCGGUCUUCGAGACGGCGGCGGCUGAGGUAAGCGAAGGCACAGGAAAGCCUCGGCGGCGGCGCCGGAGCUGCAUCCGAGGAUGCCCAAAGGUGGUUCCUUGUCGGAGUGGCCGACUGCGGGCCACUUUGCCCCGCGGCCGCCGCGCCAGAGUAUUUCUUUUCAUUUCCCUGUCUAUUUUUUGUUUUCCAUUUUUUUUACUUUGACAUGUUCGUCUAUGUUUGAUUUUCUAUUUGUCUAGUAUGUUUAUUUAUUUAUUUUUAUUUAUUUGGGGCAAAUACGCAAAAAAAAAAAAGCAUAUGUCCACAUGUGUGUAAUCAUUUUCUUCCAAACACAUGAGCAUUCCUUGAAACCCAUGAUUUUCUAAAUACACAAUGAACAUUUUUAUUUCAUUUAUAAUAAUUUUCUAUUGUUGUAUGUGAUUUUUUACAUUUAUUGCAAUAUAUAAAAACAGAUUUCUAAAAUACCUUUUGAAAUAUUUUAAUAAUUUAUACUCUUUAAAAUAAACAAAUUGUAAACUUAAUGGUCUAGUAUAAAAAAUCACAUGACCGCAAAAUGGGAAAGGAAAAUGUCUUAUAAUCCUAUAUUAACACUGAGUUAUCGGAAGCAGGCAAGAAAAAAGAACGGCAAACAAAACAAGAACCAGCCGUGCUAAAACACGAAAAUUCUCAGGUUUUAUUUGUGUGUGUGUGUGUGUGUGUGUGUGUGUGUGUGUGUGACCCUGAUAAGUCCAGAACCCAAAUCAUGGCCGGCGAAACAGUUUCUUCGAGCCAUCUCAAAAGACAAAAGGUUUCUUCAGCUAGUCGAAGCUUUUAAUCAUUUUCGCGCAAGAUGCAUGCAUGGCCAUCGCUCACGUACGGACCUUUUUCCUUUUGAAGGGGUACGGACCUGGUUGAAGGCCAUGAAGCCGAGGUCGAGGUGGACGCACCCGCCGGCGCCGUCGUCGACGGCCACCGUCCUGGCGGCGCACCCGCCGAGGCGGUCCUCCUCCUCGUACAGGGUCACGCGCACGCCGCCCCCGCCGCUCGCGGCCAGCAGCAGCUCGUGCGCCGCCGCCAGCCCGCUCACCCCGCCGCCCACCACCGCCACCCUCAUCCUGCUCUUAGCUCUCUGCUGUCUCUGUGCCACUGUCUCUCGCUCUGUGCUCUCUGUGCUCUGUGGCACUCCGCACUUGUAUUUAAGUUGGAAGUGGACGGUCAGAGCGCUCCAACAAUAUACUCGCUCCGUUCUCAAAUAUAAGUCUUUUUAAAUAUUCCAAUAAAUAACUACAUACGAAGUAAGAUAAGUGAAUCUAGACUCUAAAAUAUCUCUAUUAUAUAUCCGUAGGUUGUAGUCUAUUUGAAAUAUUUAAAAAAAAACUUAUAUUUAGGACGGAAGGAGUACUGCUGUAGCAGCGAGGGAUGUUAAUUAGUCCAUGGAGAUGGAACAUGUGGUUUGCAACCGUGUCCAGUGGACCUGACUAUGGCAAUUUCUUAGAGCAUCUACAUUCGGACACCUCAAACCUUCUCAGACGUCUAGGCGGCCCGUCCGAUCACUGACAGGUCACAAAAUUUCAACCCAGCCGAGCGCCUCAAUCCUCCUCAAAUGUCCGGGUGGCCCGCCCGGUCGUUGACCGGUAAAGAAAUUUUGACGAAGCCGGGUGCCUCAAAAGGGUUUCAAACACCCGGGCUGACCGGCACCCAUCAUAUACAGCCCAAAUAUGAGGCGGACAUGGGACGCCCUGGCGCGUCCGUCACGUCAGACCCGGCUCAUGCUGACCCACCCGACCCCAUAUAUAUUUCUCUUCAUUCGCUCACUGGACCAAACCCUAGACACUACACUCCACCACCCAACCUCGUCUCCAGCGCCGUCCGGCCGUCUCCGGCAUGGCGGACAGCGGAUCCGUAUCCUUCACCUCUAGAUCCGUCGACCCCGAGCUCAUCCCACGCGCCCCCAAGAAGGAGAUGACCGUCUGGCUUGCGCUCCGCCGCUCUCGGGAGGAGGCCCGUGCACGACAGCGCUCGGACUCUUUCCGUCGGGAAUCCAUUGCGUCCGGUCAAAUGGCGCAUGGAUCCGGCACUAGGUGUGUCUUCGCUGCCUCGUCGGAGGUGGUGUGGCCCGUCUGGCGUCCGAACGCGGUGGUGGACGCGCAACCCCUGCGUUGGCGCGCCGAGCAUGGGGACGCACCAUCGGCCUCGUCAGACGAGAACAUGGCACGGCGUGCCCGUCAUGCGAGGCAGCGGAUGCGGGAGGAGACAGUGAACGUGGACAAGGCGGAGUCGCCUUCUCCAGCGUCCUGUAUGGUGCAGCAGUCCGGGAGCCGCAACUGCAUUGUAGUGGACGUCGUCGGCUCGUCCUAGGACUGAUCCAUCACCGAUUUGACGUCCAUCGGCACCUUUCGGGUUUCGGCCUGCGACGAGGAAGAGUAGGGCAUGGAAGACGGCGACGCCUUGAGUCCCGUGAUGAGAAGGAUGAAGACGAUGAAGAGACGAACCGGCUGGCACAUUUGUACUACGCCGGAUCUGAUACCCCCGUUAACAGAUUACGUCUCAACGAACCAAACACAUUUGAACGGGAUGUGUUACCCUCGUUACGUUACAAAAUUCUAAACAAACACAUCAUUAGUAUGUACAACGACAAGACCAGUUUCACAAGACAGGGAGGACAGUUGGUCCUGCCAUUACAUCGAUCUACAGGAUCUUCCUAGAGUGCUAGCUCGACGUACUUCCGGGGAAGGGUCCAUGUGCCUUGAGGCAGCAGGCCUGGCUCAAAACCGGGGUACGUGUCAGUACUCAGCAGCAUGCAUGUGACCCUCUUCAAUACUCCAGCAUGGGGGGUCCGGGGUUUGACAGGAGUCUGCAUGCACAGCACGCGAGUAGAGCCACGUGUGCACAUUGCAGCAAUGCACAGCACGCGAAGCAGAGUACUGACCGCUUCUCACCAUCGUGCACAUUGCAGCAAUGCACUGUAGCCAUGUGUGCAGCAGCGUGAGCGUCCCAGCCGCUAAAGGUUGGCCCGGCCGGCUACUGGCCACCCUUUCCAUUUCUGGCUUGAGUCAUAAAAAGGAGCUGGCACUUGUACCACUUUUGACAAAUCUGGCCUUUGAUUUUCCACAGAUUUGAGUCACAUGACCUCUAUGCAGAAUUACUCCCACCGUGAACUAAGAGCAUCUUCAGCCGUUCGGCCCCCCGGGCGCCGAAAAAGAGCGUCCUAGGGUGCGCCGGCGAUAAACUCGGCGCUGGGGCGGUUCGGCACCCAGCCGUCGCCCCCAGGCGCCGAAAUCAGCCCAGCUUUCGGCUCAAAUAUGUCCAAAAAUGGCCCGAUAACUGCGUGAAUCGGCCCAUUUUCGGCGCGGUUUGGCGGUUUUCGGCGUGAAUUUUCGCAUACAAAUAGAAAUCAAUUAUUAGUUCAGCGUGUUUCGGCGUGUUUCAUCACAUAAAUCAAAUAGUUCACUACAAAUUAUAUAGUAACAAAUAAAAACUCAAGUUCACCACAUGUCAUUCCCGGUCUCGCCCUUGAGCCUCCAUAGGUACUCCACCAGAUCGUGUUGCAAUUUUUGAUGCACCUGUGGGUCUUGGAUCUCCUGACACAUAUUGAGUUAGUCAGUACAGUUUGUCGGUAGCUCGUGAUCAACUUGGGCAAGAGGACCCUGCCUGUGGUAUGGUUCAGUGUCAAACAUUGGCUCUUCCUGCUCGCUCUCAAUAAUCAUAUUGUGCAAGAUGACACAGCAAGUCAUGAUCUCCCACAUUUGAUCUUUCGACCAGGUCUGAGCAGGAUACCGGACAACAACAAAUUGAGAUUGGAGCACACCAAAUGCCCGCUCGACAUCCUUCCUGCAAGCCUCCUGUAUCUUUGCAAACCAGGCGUUCUUGCCUCCUGGCACAGGGUUUGAGAUGGUCUUCACAAAUGUCAACCAUCUCAGAUAGAUGCCAUCAGCUAGAUAGUACCCUUUGUUGUUCUGCCGCCCAUUGACCUCGAAGUUCACAGGAGGAGAAUGACCUUCAACAAGCUUGGCAAAGACUGGGGAGCACUACAGGACGUUGAUGUCAUUGUGAGUUCCUGGCAUUCCAAAGAAAGAGUGCCGAAUCCAGAGGUCCUGUAUGGCCACUGCCUCAAGUACCACACUUCAACCGCCUUUGGCGCCUUUGUACAACUCCUGCCAAGCAAAUUGACAGUUCUUCCAUUUCCAAUGCAUGCAGUCGAUGCUUCCAAGCAUCCCAGGAAAUCCUCUUGCUUCAUUCUGUGCUAGGAUCCGAGUCGUGUCUUCUGCAUUGGGUGUUCGCAAGUACUGCGGUCCAAACACUGCCACCACUGCCCUGCAGAACUUGUAGAAACACUCAAUGGUGGUGGACUCGGCCAUGCGCCCAUAGUCAUCGAGUGAAUCACCGGGAGCUCCGUAUGCAAGCAUCCUGAUAGUUGUCGUGCACUUCUGGAUCGAGGUGAAUCCAAGUGUGCCGGUGCAAUCCUUCUUGCACUUGAAGUAGCUGUCGAACUCCCAGAUGGAAUUCACAAUCCGGAGGAAAAGCUUUCGGCUCAUCCGAUAACGGCGCCGAAAUGUUUUCUCACUGUGCAAAGAAGCGUCGGCGAAGUAGUCCGAGUAGAGCAUGCAGUAGCCUUCCAGACGAUGCUGGUUCUUUGCUUUCACCCGCCCAAGCGCCGAGCCACCUCGCCGCGGCUUCUCACUGCUGGCGAGCAGGGCGGCGAGCACCGUGAGAUGCUCCUGCUCCUGAACGUCAACUUUGGCUUCCUCAUCCAGCAACGCCGCGAGCGCCUCCUCAUCUUCGGAGUCCAUCGUUGGGCCGGGCAAUUCACCGAACACCUUGUGGGCGAGGUGGGUACAAGCCCGCCGGCGUACAGGCCCUGCGCGGCUGGAAAAGGUGCCGGGGCGGCGGCAAAGAGGCUGCCUCAGCAACGCUCCUUCUUUUUCUAGGCUGGAGACGGUCCACCAAGCUACGGCGGGCGGUGGUCGGCGCCGGGAUCGGCAGGGUGGCGGCCGAGCGCGGGGGGCAGGAGGGCGAAUCUGGUCAGGUGGAUUGACUUUUCGCCUGUCAAUGUGGCCCCAGGAACACUUUUCGCUUGCGCCGGAGCCCCCGAGCGUCCCCCCCCCCCACCCCAGUGCGCUGGGUUCGGCCUGCGAGUGCCGGGCGCAAAAACGGCCCGAGCCGGCGGAAUUCGGCGUCCUGGGGGCGCGACUGGGCCGUUUUUUCGGCGCCGGCGCAAAUAAAUCGCCUGGGGAGGCCUUCCUAGGGCACGGCUGGAGAUGCUCUAAUACUUUCUCCGUUUCAUAAUAUAAGACGUAUUUUAAGACCACUGUAAUGUUAAAAAUCGUCUUAUAUUAUGAGACCAAAGGAGUAUAAGAUCUUUGUAAUUUUGAAAUGUGAUGGCGCCAAACAAAAUAGGGCGGGCCAAAUUUGGGCAACUCAAUCCAGAACUACUCACGAGCCGGUGAAAAAUGUGUUUUAUGCCUUUGACUUGUCUGAAACAUGGAUGCUCCACUUUUCUAACAUAAUACAUAGUGCAGUACAGUGUUGUUUUAUUCAUAAUUUAUUUGUCAAUUAUUUUAUUUAUCAAGUAAGUGCAAGAGUUAGAAGCCAAGGCUUUUCUACCUCUCUCCAAAGGUGAUUUGGGAAAGUCUUCCUUCCCUCGAUCUCCCUCGGCGAGCAUGUGGAUUCGCCUCCCCUUCGCCUGUCGCUCCGGCGGCCGAUGAAGCGGAGGAGAAUCCUGGUGUCUCGACUCCCGCUAGUAGACAUGUAGAGUUGUAGUCCUCGCAGGGUGGCGUUUGGGCGGAUGGCAGCGCUCCUUCCUUAAUCAGUCUUUAGGGCUCCGAUCCUCCUCAAGUUCGUCCGUUGGGACAAAUUAGACAAAGUUCCGGCGUAGAUUUCUGCCAGCUCCUUGGGGCAGCGCAAUUAGGGUAUCUCGUCAUGCAUACGCAUCAGCGAUGUUUGAUGUCGUGUUCUUCCGACCGAUUCAAAGAUUCAACUUCGACGACUACAACUCCGGAGCACUGGUCCUUAGGGGUACGUGCACGAAGACUUCCCAGUUGUCAUCGACAAUGUCAGGACGGCUCCGGUAUGGGAGCGGCGAGAGCGGCGCGUCAGUGGCUCGUUUUGACGGCGACAAUGGUCGUUCGGUGGACCGUGGGCCUCUAUGUAAUUUUUUAUUAUGUUUGAUGUGUUUUGUACUUUUGGUGAAUCUUUAUGAUAGAUCUGGUAUUUAUGCAAAAGAAAUAAUAUCUGUAAGAUGUCUAGGGCACAUCUAGAUGUGCUCUAGUUAUUGUACAUCUAAAUGAGUGAAUCAAGCAUAAAGAGAAAAAGAAAAAAAGAAAACAAAAAUAUCUACAUGAAUCUCAACAUAGGUCAAUGACAAAGGAUUUAGAUGUGCAAUACUUAUGAUGUGCUUUAGCAAAACUGUUACAAAAUCAACCGGAGGUUUUGUGACCACAUAACAGAACAAAAUUAACCUAAAUGCUUCAAACUGCAGCUGCGCUAUUCGGGCGUCGCGAGCGCAUGCAGUACACGACAAAAAACUCACCCUAUAAAAAUUGUAAUUAGCAUUCUUUGUCAUCAUUACACUACAAAAAAAGGAAAAUAUAUGUUCGUGAUCUCGUCGAUGAUGCCUACUUUAAACAAAUCAGUCAAAAAAGAGAUGCACAUGCAUUUAUUUGACUUCAUAAAAUUUUAAAAAGCCAUAGCUUCUGAUUCAAGUAUCGGAACUUAGAUUUGUUUUCCCCGUUGGGUUUCUCGUGAUGAGUUCUUCAAAAGUACUCCCUCCGUCCUUGAAAGAGUGUACUUCCAAUUUUUUUGGGGGGUCAAAGUAUCUCAAAGUUUGACCGAGUUUGUGCAAAUAUAUGUCAAUGCUUGUGAAACCAAAUAGGUAUAUGACAAAAAUAUAUUUUAUCAUGAAUCUAAUGCUACUAAUUUGAUGGCAUAAAUGUUGGUCUAUUAUUGUAUAAAUAUGGUCAAACAUAAAAAACUUUGACUUUCCAAUAAAGUUGAAAGUACACUCUUUCAAGAACGGAGGGACUAGAACCCAUAUGGAUAUGUUUGGACAAACUUUUUGUUUUGAGCAACUUUCGGUACGGUGCUAAAAAGGCAACUGUAGUGCUAUAGAAAAAGCAACUUCUUCUUAGUUUGCCUACUAUAAUUGCCUAUCAACGAGAAGUCAUUAUAAGCUGCCGCACAUGACUAUCUUGUUCACUAAAUUCACAUAUAAGUUUUUUCCAAAAUGCUUAUUAGUGCUGCUGCAAUAUUUGGAGACGUCGAGCGCACCAUCCCAAGCCAUUCGAUUUAGCACAAAUCGCGCGCAGGUGUUUUCCUGUCUAGUGUGGUGACCGAAGGUAUGGUGGGACCCCUCCCAACCUUUUUCAGGUAUCAUCAUUGCCUACAAUCAAUGAUAUUGUUGCCUAAAAUCAUGUAUCCAGUUGCCCACAAUCAACCAUACAGUUGUCUAAAAUCAUGUAUCCAGUUGCCCAUGAUCAACCAUACAGUUGUGUAAAACCAUGUAUCCGGUUGCCCACAAUUAACGAUAUUGUUGCCUAAAACCAUGUAUCCAGUUGCCCGCAAUCAACCAUACAGUUCUUUAAAAACCUUGUAUCCAGUUGCCCACAAUCAAUCAUACAGUUGUCUAAAACCAUGUAUCCGGUUGGCCACAAUCAACCAUACAGUUGUCUAAAAUCAUGUAUCCAAUUGCUCAAUCCUCAUGAACAGAAACAUUACCAAGACCAUAACUUGGCUUAUAUGUAAAGGUUUUAGAUACCUUUCAAGUUUGUGUCAUAGAGAUGCAUCAAUAAUUUAUCUCCUCUCGGUGGGAUCCCUUGGUAUGAUCGAAACUACUUGGCAGAUUCUCCUCCUCUUGUGUCUUAGGACACUAGUAGAAAACCCCUCAUUCGUCCCGGUUUGUGAGGGCUAUUGGUCCCGGUUCACGAAUCAGGACUAAACGGUCGUCACUAAAGCCCUGACCCUUUAGUCCCGGUUCGCCGAGGAACCGGGACAGAUGGGCACUCCACGUGGCCGCUACCGCUUGCCCAGGCAGGGGGCCAUUUGUCCGGGUUGGUGCCACAAACCGGGACCAAAAGACUUCCACGCGUCAGCAUAUCAGCGGCUUGGCUUUUUGNNNNNNNNNNNNNNNNNNNNNNNNNNNNNNNNNNNNNNNNNNNNNNNNNNNNNNNNNNNNNNNNNNNNNNNNNNNNNNNNNNNNNNNNNNNNNNNNNNNNNNNNNNNNNNNNNNNNNNNNNNNNNNNNNNNNNNNNNNNNNNNNNNNNNNNNNNNNNNNNNNNNNNNNNNNNNNNNNNNNNNNNNNNNNNNNNNNNNNNNNNNNNNNNNNNNNNNNNNNNNNNNNNNNNNNNNNNNNNNNNNNNNNNNNNNNNNNNNNNNNNNNNNNNNNNNNNNNNNNNNNNNNNNNNNNNNNNNNNNNNNNNNNNNNNNNNNNNNNNNNNNNNNNNNNNNNNNNNNNNNNNNNNNNNNNNNNNNNNNNNNNNNNNNNNNNNNNNNNNNNNNNNNNNNNNNNNNNNNNNNNNNNUAUUAGCUAGCUAAUAGAGAGAAGUGUCCUCUCUUAUCUCCGUGCUUGGUCGAGGCUACGUAUAGAGAGGACUCGACACACUAGCUAGCUAGUAAGCAAAUGAAGGAAACUACUAAGUAUACAGAAGGUCGUCAUGAACAUAUACAGAAGUGAUCGACCUCCCCUUCUUCGAGAGAUUGGUCGAACAACAAGUUUUCGUAUAUCUUACCGAUGCUACUGGCUAUAUAUAUAUAUAUAUAUAUAUAUAUAUAUGUAUGUAUGUAUGUAUGUAUAUAUAUAUAUAUAUAUAAUGUGUAAGAUCUCUUACAAUACCCUAACAUAUGAACUCAACUUCCAGAUGCAUGGUGAUAUUCUCCGGCUUUAUUGAUGACGUGGUCAAAAAAGAAUCCAGCCAAUUCCUCUUGAAUUGCUCGCAUGCGAUCUGCUGGUAGGAGUUCAUCCCGCAUCUGCCACAUCUAAUUUGAAUAAGGGGGUCAAUACAUAUAUAUGAAUGAAACUCAACAGAAAUGAUGGUAAUAAAAUAAACUUGUGAAUAUUUUUGCUUACGCACCUCAUAUUGUCUUUUUGAGUAGCCCCGCCUAUUCUUGGCCGUCGCGUUGUAGAUGAACUCGGAGACGUAGUAUCCACAAUAAUUAUUCCCGGCUUCCUGCCACAAACAGUUUACGAGAAAUAGAGGUCAAUCAAACUGAUAAUGAAGCAUUAUAAAUGGCAUUGAUGAUAGUAGUUAAAAUCAAUGGGAGAUGCGCGGAACUAGCUAGCUAGCUAGUAGUACUUACUUUCGGGUAUUUCCAUAACAGAUCUCGCGGCAAUGAAGUAACUUGUGCGGUGAAUACUUUCCUAAUUCUGUGAGACAAACAAAACAAUUACUUGAUAUCGUGAAUUGAACAAAGUUGCUGAUAUGGUGCGAUAAUGAUCGAAUCAACUUACUUCUCGAGCAUCUUUGACAUGGCCGCAUACUCCUUGGGAUCUUUUCGUCUCGAGUCUAAGACGUUUACUAGUCCCUUCUCAAGCUUAAUCUCUAGGACAAUAUAGUGGAAGCUGCGCACACAUGCAUAACUCAUCGAUUACAUUAAUUACUAUAACAGUAAUAAUUUAGGGAAAUUGAAUAUGCACAAGUCAGUAACACUCACUUGAAGUUGUAAGGAAAGAGUAUUGUAUCUUUGUUUUGAUUUAUUAACAAAGAUCGUAGCAAGUUGUCCUCAGUUUCUUUUGCAUUAUAUUUAACCGUAAAUUCAUCUAUGAGAUUUGUGUUAAUGAACCCAAUAUCAUAAAUUUCAUUUUGUCUGCAUUCGACGAUCUUCAAUCUGCAUAAUACAGUGAGGAUAAUUAUAUAUACAUGCAAUGAAAGAGCUGAGCUAUAUAUAGAGACUUGAUGAUAGAAGUAGUACUUACAGACAGUAGCAAGUGACCGUUAAUUUACCGAGGGCCUCUAGACUGAAAAAGUGGAAGAACUCCUCAAAUGGAACAGACAACUCCUCAAUUCCAACGAGGUCGUGCACAUCCUCUUUAUUUUAUUCCCAGUUGAUAACGCCUUUCUGCAGGUUUCGAUGUAUCAAUCAUGGAAUCUUCACAUCAUCGUUGUUAGAAUAGUUCCAUCUUUGAUGAGAGGCUUACCGUACUCGUAUUUGAAUAAGUCCGGCUCCAUUAUAUCAUAAUGUGCAUCAUCGUAAUCUCUAGGAUUGGUACCGGGCAAGACCCCCAGAUGAUUAGCGACGAUAUCGCUAGACACCUUGAGCGGGGGGCACGAUUGGUUCGCUUGUUCGCCGAGCUGGGGAAUUUUUUUUCCCAGUUCUUCAUUCUUGUAACCUUUUGUCACUGCAAGUACUUCCCGACCGCUUCGCUUCCUUUUAUGUCUUUUCAGUAAUGCGCUCAUAGUUGGUUUUUGGCGGAGACGGUGGUGGUCGCUGCAGAGUAUCCAAAGUGUGCUUCGCUUUAACCGGAUCUAUCUUCUCCUCCGGAGGUGGAUGUCUCUUAGCUCUUUGUGUUACGAAGUAGUCCCUCACUUGCGCUUGACAGAUCUCAUCAUUUUCCUUCUCGGUCCUCUCGUAUGGUAACUUCUCUGGAGUCUUGAGAGAUGGACCGAAUCUGUAUUGCCUCCCGCCUGUACUGCUAGACGCCGGAGCAGGCCGAGCUGCUGCGGCUUUCUUCUUUAGUUGCUUACGAGGGGGAGGAGAAGGACUGCAAUGCGCCGGAGCAGCCGGAGCGGCGGCGGGUCUCUUCCGCCCUUGCUGAUGAGGCGAAGAAGGAGGAGGCUGGCUGGUCGAGCGCGCCGGCGCAGGCGGAGAAGGAGGCGGAGUGCCACCACGCGCCGGAGAAGGAGGCGGAGUGCCCUGAUCACUCGCCGGAGGAGCAGGAGGAGGAGGAGGUGGAGUGCCCUGACUCGCCGGAGGAGGAGGAGGAGGCGGAGGCGUCCAGUUCGAAAGGUUGAUGAGCUCCUUCCUCCAUAGGCAUGGAAUCUUCAAAGCAGAACCCAGCCGAGUCUCCCCUUCACCGGUAUGGUGGUCAAGCACGAGCUCCUCAAAUCCCUCCGUUAUUUCUUACACCAUCACCCUAGCAUAUCCUUCUGGAAUUGGACGGCAAUGAUAAGUUGCGCCGGGUUCAGGCGGUAGAAUAGAGCCGACAGCCGCCUUGACUUUGUACUUCUCCCAUUUGCGUCAUAAGGUGGCAAUGUUGAGACUCUUUGAUAGCAUCCAUGGGGUAGCUAGAAGGAACCGUGAAGAUAGGCUCCAGCUGAAGCUGCUCGAUGGAAGCCACGCUGCUUCUCCCCUGAGAUGGGGGGGGGGGGUAACUGCAUCUCGUUCCUCUAACUUCUGUAUCCUUGAGUGCAGCUCCUACAGUUCGCUCUGCUCCACCUUCCUCCUCCUCUCUUGGCAUUUGUAACCGCAUGCAUCCGAAAACCCAGCCUUCCACAGAACGGAGCCUGGCGUGCCUCAUAUCCGUCCAGGGUGCUCAGGAUUCCCGAGGGCCAUUGUGAGCUCGUCCUUCUCUCUAUCUGGAACGAACGUCCCUACCUGCGCUGCGUUAAUAUAGUGUUGAAGCUUCUUGAGGGGUAUUCGCAGUUGCUCCCUCGUCCAAACGCACUUCCCUGUUACAGGGUCCAAGGUUCCGCCAACCCCGAAGAACCAAGUCCGGCAACGGUCUGGCCAGUUCAAUGUCUCUGGUUUGACCCCUUUAUCAAGCUGGUCGUUCUCAGCCUUGUCCCACAACGGUCGGGCUUUGAGGUAGCCACCUGACCCCGUGCGAUGGUGAUGCUCCUUCUUUGCAGCAUUUAUCUUGUUUAUGGCUGACAUCUUCUUACUCCUCUCUGAUGUCUUGUUGGCCACAAAUGCGUCCCAUUGAUCUUUGAUCUUCUCGUACCGCCCGAUGAAUUCUGGUGUCUUUUUUUGGUCGACAAACUUUGCUUUCAGGUCAUUCUUCCACUUCUUGAAUAGAUCUUCCAUCUUCUUGAGAGCAACGGACUUGAUCAAUGGCUCCUUAACUGGAUUCUCCGGAUCGUCCUCUUCCGAUAGGGUGAAAUUUACCUUCAGCGCUUUUCAAAGAUCAUCUUUCUGUCUAUCUUCGACAAAAGAAACUUGAAGCUCUUCAUCCUUAGGCUGAUUCCAUUGGUCUAUGCUGAUCAGGAUCAUGUCCCUAACAAGAACCCCGCAUUGAGCAGUAAAUGCCUUCUUGGUCCGGAGGGGUUCAAUUGAUUGGCCAUCGCGCGCGAUUGCUGUGAUCGUGAACCUUUCAUCUGAUUGCAACUUUUUCUUCGGGCCUCAUCUCUUUUCCGAAGUUGUGCCUGGUCCGGAGGGCUAGAAAUUAGAAGAAAGACGAGAGUUAAUAUGUGUAGAUACCAAAACAAUGAAUGCAUCAAUUAGCUAUAGUCAGCACCUGCUUAAUUAAUAUAUAUACCUGGCCGGACGCUGUUCGGUCACCGGAGCCGUCAUCACGACCUCCUUCUUGCACCGGUGAUCGGUCACCGGUCACGGUCUCCUCCGUUGUUCGAGGACUGUAGCCUGCUUCGUCACCCUCUCCUUCCAGACCAUCACUUUCGUUGAGAUACGACAUGACAUCAGCUCCGGCUGCGAUUAUGUCCCCCAACACCCCUUCUGCUUCCUCAUCUCGGCCGUGCUCCAUAGUUUCUGCAAAUAUUACAACAUGGCAAUUAUUAUACAAACAUGACAGAUGGAUAUAUUAGUGGCAAACGAAGACCUAGCUAUAGCUAUUCACAACAAGGAAUUAUAUUAAUUAAUGGCCUCGAUGCUUCUCUAGGGUUUGGGGUGGCCUCGGCAACGCUUAAAGGGUUCGGGGUGGCCUCGACGACAACACUCUUUUAACUUGGUAAAAGGAGUGGGUAUAUCGACAACGAUGACAUACAUACAUGGAAAAAAUGUUAUCGGGGAGGGGGUAUAUCGACCCCCCCUCAUGUCGAAGUUAUUGGGGAGGGGAUAUCGACCCCCCCCCCCUCCCCCCUCAUGUUGAAUAUAUGUUGAAUUCCCGAGAGAAAACAUUCAUCGAACAAAAUUACAACAGAAAAAAUUGACCAAGUUUUCAUAUAUCAUCAUCAUCAUCUACUACUACAAAAAAAUUGACAUAUUCUUUACAUAUGAACAUACAAACGUUUGCUUAUUCGACAAUAAUAUCGCCAAAAAAAUUCUAUGAACAUUAAAAAUUCUAACNNNNNNNNNNNNNNNNNNNNNNNNNNNNNNNNNNNNNNNNNNNNNNNNNNNNNNNNNNNNNNNNNNNNNNNNNNNNNNNNNNNNNNNNNNNNNNNNNNNNNNNNNNNNNNNNNNNNNNNNNNNNNNNNNNNNNNNNNNNNNNNNNNNNNNNNNNNNNNNNNNNNNNNNNNNNNNNNNNNNNNNNNNNNNNNNNNNNNNNNNNNNNNNNNNNNNNNNNNNNNNNNNNNNNNNNNNNNNNNNNNNNNNNNNNNNNNNNNNNNNNNNNNNNNNNNNNNNNNNNNNNNNNNNNNNNNNNNNNNNNNNNNNNNNNNNNNNNNNNNNNNNNNNNNNNNNNNNNNNNNNNNNNNNNNNNNNNNNNNNNNNNNNNNNNNNNNNGAAGAAGAAAGGAAUAGAGGUGAAGAAGAAGAAAAAAUAGAAAUUACUCUAUUUUUUUUCUUCUUCUCUUCUAUUCCUUUCUUCUUCUCCUCUUUUGUUCCUAUUCUUAUUUAUUUCUCCUCUUCUUCCACUCCUCUUCUUCUCCUCUUCCUUCUUCCUUCUUCCUAGCUAGAUAUAUAAUUUUUUUCUAAAAAUGUAACUUUUCCAUAUACAAAACUUUUUCUUCUUCUUCCUUCUUCCUCUCUUCCUUCUAAGUUUUGCAUAUAUGAAUUCAUAUAUACAUUUUUAUAAAAAAAGCAAAAAAAACCAUCAUAUAUAUGAACAAAAAAUCUGAAAAAAACAGGACAUAUAAUCAUAUAUACACAUAUACAUAUAAUCACACAUAUGCACAUAAUCUGAAUAAAAACAUCAUAUAUAUGAAAAAAAAAGGGGAAGGCCGGCGGCCGGACCGAACGCGAAGGCAGCGAUGGGGGCGGGAUAGGGCAGGGGCGCGGGCGACGGCGACGACGACGAGAGCGACGGCGACGGCGGGGGCUGGCCGGGGCAGGCGCGCGGGCGAUGACGACGGCAGGGGCAGGCCGGGGCAGGGGCUCGAGGGACGACGACGGUGACAAGAGAGACGACGAGGCUGGGGCGGGCCGGGGCAGGGGUGUGAGCGACGACGACGAGAACGACGGUGACGGCGGGGGCGGCGGACAGCGAUGGGGCAGCCUGGCGGCGUCGAUGUGCUCGGCGUCGUCGGGGGCAACUGAUGAUGAACUCUGCAAAAUUCUGGAGUGCUACUUAUAUACCAAGAGCAUUGGUCUCGGUUCGUGGCACCAACCGGGAGUAAAGGGGCUUGGUCCCGGUUGGUGCCACCAACCGGGACCAAAGGUCUCUUUUCAGCAGCCCAAAGGGUGGGAAGCACAGGGCCUUUGGUCCCGGUNNNNNNNNNNNNNNNNNNNNNNNNNNNNNNNNNNNNNNNNNNNNNNNNNNNNNNNNNNNNNNNNNNNNNNNNNNNNNNNNNNNNNNNNNNNNNNNNNNNNNNNNNNNNNNNNNNNNNNNNNNNNNNNNNNNNNNNNNNNNNNNNNNNNNNNNNNNNNNNNNNNNNNNNNNNNNNNNNNNNNNNNNNNNNNNNNNNNNNNNNNNNNNNNNNNNNNNNNNNNNNNNNNNNNNNNNNNNNNNNNNNNNNNNNNNNNNNNNNNNNNNNNNNNNNNNNNNNNNNNNNNNNNNNNNNNNNNNNNNNNNNNNNNNNNNNNNNNNNNNNNNNNNNNNNNNNNNNNNNNNNNNNNNNNNNNNNNNNNNNNNNNNNNNNNNNNNNNNNNNNNNNNNNNNNNNNNNNNNNNNNNNNNNNNNNNNNNNNNNNNNNNNNNNNNNNNNNNNNNNNNNNNNNNNNNNNNNNNNNNNNNNNNNNNNNNNNNNNNNNNNNNNNNNNNNNNNNNNNNNNNNNNNNNNNNNNNNNNNNNNNNNNNNNNNNNNNNNNNNNNNNNNNNNNNNNNNNNNNNNNNNNNNNNNNNNNNNNNNGUAUUUAUAUAUAUAUAUUUUUCUACUUUCAACAAAAUAUUUUCUUUUUGUUUUCUUUUUUGCUUUUUGUAUUUAUUUUAUGAAAAUUAUUUUUCUUUUUAGUUGCAUAAAUUUUAUAUAAUUUUAGUUUCAAUAAUACUAGAGGUUUAUAAAAGUUUUUUAGUUGAUUCUUUUAGUACCAGUUCUAAGGCUGUUACAAAGGCAUUUUAUUUGGUACCGGUUCUAAGGCUGGGGCCCCACGAGCACCUUUAGUACCGGUACGUGGCAUGAACUGGUAAAAGAGUUUUUUAGUUGAUUCUUUCUGCAGCUGUUUUUUAGUCCCACCUCGCCAAGCGAGAGGCACUCGCAGCGGUUUAUAAGCCCUGAGUGUAGAGGCGAUGAAGGGGAGGCGCAGUGCUCACCUACAUGUUGCUUAGCUUCAAGCCUUGAGGAACAUAGCUCCGUGCAGUCUACAUGAUUUCCUCAAGGCCUGAAGCUAAGCAACGUGCAGGUGGGCAUUGCGCCUUUUUUUAAUAACUUAUUACAACUCUGGACUUCUUGUGUGUUCAAAAUGCAACAUUCGAGAUAUCAGGGUUUCAUACGGAAACUUGUCUGUUACAAAAAUCAUUCGAGAUAUAAUUUUAGUUUCAAUAAUACUAGAGGUUUUAUAUUUUAUUAUAGUUUAUUUAUUUUACAUUAUUGAAGUUUAUUUUGUUUCUACUUAUUUAUUAAAGUUUUUUCUGUUUCUAAUUAUUUAUUUUAUUUUGUUUCUACUUAUUUAUUUUCUUUUCUUUUUUUGCUUUUUUAUUUAUUUUAUGAAAAUUCUUUUUGCCCUCUUCCCUGGCAGGAUUGGUACCGGUUUGUGGCCUGACCCGGCCCGAAAGAUGACGCUUUGGUGCCGGUUCAGGCGACAAACCGAUACCAGUGGUGUUGGGCCAGGAGCGGGGCCUAUUGGUCCCGGUUCGUGCCGCCAACCGGGACCAAAGGGGCCAGACGAACCGGGACCAAUGACCCCACGAGGCCCGGCAGGCCCCUGGCCUCACGAACCGGGACUAAUGGGCCCAUUGGCACCAGUUCUUGAGCCAACCGGGACUAAUGGGCUUAUCUGGCCCGGACGUAUGCCCUGUUUUCUACUAGUGGGAGAUGGGAUCCAACUUGAUGUUGGAGGGAGCAAUGGAGGCUGAGGGGCCUUGAGAACGCCGCCUCGUUGUUCGAUUUGGAGUAUUUCGGACGUACGGAGUUUUUCAAACAAAUUAGGUGACCAUCAUUGGAUGGUUAAAGGUGUCUGGAGAGGCCGAUCCCGACAUUUGGAGUGAUUGAGUGUCCUUAUGGUAUGAAAUUUAGAGGUAAAGUUAGUUAAUUGGUAGUUAUGGUAACCAACUUAGAAGGAUCCUCCGCUGGUAGGUAAAGGAAAAAAAAGGAGUUGCUUUCCUAUAGCACUGAAGUUGCCUCUGCAGCACACAAAGUUGUUCAGAAAAAAAGUUUGUCGAAAUCUACUCAUAUGAGAUCUAAUUUUGAAGAACUCGUCGCGAGAAACCCAAUAGUGAAAUCGGAUCUAAAUUUCAAAACUCGAAUCAAAAGUUAUGAUUUAAAAAAAAUUGAAACCACAAAUAAUUGCACAUGGUCUCUCAGUCGAGGUAACCUGAUGUGAGACUUCAUUUUUUUUUCUUUUUUGAUAGGCUAAGAUGACAUGUCACAUCAUUUUCCUAAUAUAGAGGAUGCGCUCUGGACAAUUAACGAACGCUGCGGCGCUCUCUAGCUACGUCCCAGAAUAAGCAACCCUGCUAUACGUACGAUGAAUUCUCAUCCCACACUCAUACGAUUAGAGACAUUCCAAGACAAUUCAGUUUGUGGGCCACAACAUGCAUCAAGUUUUACUGUUUGGUCGUACAUGUGUCCGACGAAAAACUAUCGUACGCAGAGCAAUUUCGAUUGACACCGGAGACCAGUAUGAUUGAUUGGGUACGACGUCUCGCCAUCAUCGAUCGGCCAACCACCUUCACGACCUCCCCGCCCGAUAGCCCUAGGCAGCGACCGAUGCUACGCUGGUUGGCACCGGCCAAAAUGAGCAUUCCAAAGAUCAUAAAGAUGCUAUCUCUUGCAAUGCCGUUGUUUUUCUAGUAAUACUACACGUCGGCGUGCCUACAUACAACACACUUAUUAAUGCCGAGUAGCAGAAGUACAUACUAGUACUUUCUUUCGGGAACAUAACAAUAAGAUUUUUGUGUUCCCGGGGCGGCAAGGAGAGGACAGUUGCUGGUGCAAUUAUAUGGAUGUCGACAGGAGCUCCCUUGAAUCCUGGACGUAGUGCUGCGGAGGGUGAUGGAGUCACAUACCUAGGGUAGGGUCACGGACCUGAUCUAAGUACCCUGCCCGAGGACACCCUUAGAAGAGAUCACCUUCCAGUCGACCUACGAGGGACUCACUCGACUGACUUGAAGGACUCGACCACGAAGACUCACUCGACCACCAGAAGGUCAAGAAGCACUCUGCACGGCAACGACCUGUAAUUAAGUAGACUUUAUGAUAGUAAAGACACUUUAUGUGGGGCGUUACCUGUAACGCCCCGGACUUAAUACAUCUUAAACCCUUCAUUACGUGGGCUGGCUGGGGACCUGGCGCACUCUAUAUAAGCCACCCCCCUCCACAGGCAGAAGGGUUCGGCACUCUGUAACUCAUAUACGCAUAAUCCACUCGACCGCCUCCGGGCUCCGAGACGUAGGGCUUUUACUUCCUCCGAGAAGGGCCUGAACUCGUACAUCUCUUGUGCUUACAACCUCUCCAUAGCUAGGACCUUGCCUCUCCAUACCUACCCCCCACUCUACUGUCAGACUUAGAACCACGACAGUUGGCGCCCACCGUGGGGCAGGUGUUUUAGCGAUUUUGUGGAGAAGUUGCGAUUCUUCCGAGUACUUUCAUCAUGGUGGCUGCUGGAGUUUUGGUCGAUGGUCGAGAGAUCCGUCUCGGUGCUCUCACCUUCGUCGCCGACGACUCCGCCUGGCUCCAGGAGGCUCCACUCGACAUCGAUGCGCUCCCCGUCCGCGGUGCGACGCAUUUUCGCGCAUGUGUCCGCGGCGUUCUGCUGCGGCAACCGUCGACCCCGUAUCGGUCGACUCCCCCGUCGGCCACCCUCCCGGUCUCCCGCCAGCGUAAGCACUCGGGCCGGUCGAGGCUUCAGCGAUGGGUGAGGCACGCGGUGGCUCGCCAGACGGCCACCACCCAAGUUGUGGCAAUCGAGCCCAACGAAUCUCUCUACGACCUGUUCGAUCUGUCGACUGGCUCCAUAGAGACUGCAUCCGAGUGCGAUAGCAGUGAUCCAGCGGCGGAAAUCCUGAUGGUCGACGGGCCCCGCAGUCCCCCUGGCUUCGCCCGUGAUGGUGGGGCAGGCGACGGAGGCGACCCCGCACGAGACCACGAAGAGUACCAGCCCGAGCCACUCGACUCUCUGCCAAGAGAGGAACUUCGCCGCAGGAACGUGGAUGUCCUGCGUACUCCCAUCGCAGGAGAAAUCCCCGAGGCUCGCGCCUUGGAGGAGGCGCGUUUGGCCAAUUUGGCCGAACGCACUCGACUGGAGAAUCUUCAGCGAGCACUCGACGAGCGCGCGCGGCAACGAGUUCCCGACACCAGUCGACGUCAACUCUUCCCGCCGACUCAGGUAUAUCAAACCCCAGUCCAGAAUUUAGCAGCUGCGACCCGUAUUGCAGAGUCCAUCCAGCCCUCUCAGUCGGAAGCUGGCAGAGGCUUGAUGCAGAUCAGGGAUCUGCUUCGGGCAGCAGGCGAUCAGAAUUCGGCCGUAUCGCAGUCGCGCAACAGAAUUUACAGUCGAUCCGUCGCUGCGAAUACUGUUCAGUCGGCUCACAGCCCCAGAUCGCCUCCGCGGCGUGAAGGGCGCGAGAAUCGGCGAGACCAAUAUGGAGACCGACACGACCGAGAUGAUAGGCGUCGAGUGCCCAAUUCCCCUCCGAGGGGUGAGUCUUACGCUCCUCGGCAGCAAGAUGACAGACGUCAGCUCAAUGCGGGGCGAAGAGUUCCAGUCGACCCUAGAGAACCAGGCUUCGACGCGCGGUCCAUUAUCGUGCAAGGCUUGGUCGACCGGAACAGAGCCCAUCGAGGUGGACUCGACAGAGAUGCGCCCACGAGCAGUCGAGUGCAUGUUUCUGGUCCUGAAUGUUUCAGCAGAGCUAUCAGAGCCGCAGUGAUCCCUCCCAAUUUCAGGUUGGCAACAGGAGUCAGCAAGUUCACUGGUGAGUCUAAGCCUGAAACUUGGCUUGAGGACUACCGGGUGGCGGUUCAGAUUGGUGGUGGGAACGACGAGGUGGCCAUGAAGCAUUUGCCCCUCAUGCUGGAAGGUUCUGCCAGGGCAUGGUUGACUCAAUUACCUCCUAGCAGCAUUUACACUUGGGAAGAUCUGUCCCGAGUGUUCAUCAGAACGUUUGAAGGAACUUGCAAGCGACCGGCUGGAUUGACAGAGCUGCAAGUCUGCGUGCAGAAGACCAAUGAGACCCUCAGGGAGUAUAUUCAGAGAUGGAUCACUUUGCACCAUACUGUGGAGAAUGUGUCUGAUCAUCAGGCAGUCUGCGCCUUUAAGGAUGGUGUCAAGAACAGAGAAUUGAGUUUGAAAUUUGGUCGAACCGGUGACAUGAACUAGAGUCGGAUGAUGGAGAUUGCUACCAAGUACGCCAACGGCGAAGAAGAAGACCGACUCCCAAGCGGCAAGCACAAGCCGAGUCAGUCGGAAAAGGGAAACACCAGUCAGAAACAGAAGCGGAAGGCUGAACCGGCAGCUCCUGGGGAGGCUCUGGCCGUGACUCAGGGAAAGUUUAAAGGGAAACCAAAAGGAUCCUGGAACCCUAAGAAGGUAAAGGAUAAAGAAGGGAACGACGUGAUGGAUAUGCCGUGUCACAUCCACACGAAGAAAGACGAAGAAGGGAAUAUCAUCUACCCGAAGCAUACCACUCGCCAAUGUCGACUCCUGAUCCAGCAGUUUCAGGGAAAACAGUCUAAAGACAAGGAGAAGGAGUCGGACAAGGCCGAAGACAAGGAGGACAGUGAGGAAGGAUAUCCGCAUAUCAACUCCACUCUGAUGAUCUUUGCAGAUGUGGAAAGCAAGAGUCGAUUGAAAGUUAUUAACCGUGAGGUAAACAUGGUUGCCCCAGCAAAAGCAAAUUAUCUGAGAUCGUCCCAAACACCCAUCACAUUCGACCAAUCUGAUAACCCGACUCAUAUUGCCACCCCUGGGAGGCAAGCUUUGGUGGUCGAUCCAGUUGUCGAAGGCACUCGACUGACAAAAGUGCUGAUGGACGGUGGUAGUGGGCUGAAUUUGUUGUAUGCAGACACACUGAAAGGAAUGGGCAUUCCGAUGUCCCGACUGAGCACCAGUAACAUGAGCUUUCAUGGAGUUAUACCAGGGAAGAAAGCCGAGUCACUCGGCCAAAUAGCUCUGGACGUGGUGUUUGGUGAUUCGAAACAUUUUCGCAAAGAGAAGUUGACGUUUGAGGUCGUGGAUUUUCAGAGUGCAUAUCAUGCCAUUUUGGGGAGACCAGCUUAUGCACGGUUCAUGGCUCGACCAUGUUACGUGUACCUCAAAUUGAAGAUGCCCGGCCCCAAAGGAGUGAUCACUGUCACCGGUGAUCAGAAAAAGGCAGAAGAGUGCUUUCAGAAGGGCUCAAAGAUUGCUGAUUCCCAGGUGACAGCGGUCGAGUUCGAAGAAUACAAGCAAAACGCAGAUCCGAGUGCUGCGAUCCAAGAAACCCGCCACAGAAUCUGCAUUUUAGUCGUCCGGUGAGACGAAGCCUGUUCACAUUCACCCGACCGACCCCGAUGCAGCUCCGACCCACAUCUCCACGACACUCGACCCGAAAUAGGAAGAAGCGCUCAUCCAGUUCCUCCGUGAGAACUGGGACAUUUUUGCAUGGAAGCCCGCUGACAUGCCAGGUGUUCCCAGGGGACUGGCUGAGCAUCGCCUAAGAGUCGACUCAUCUGCAAAACCAGUCAAAGAGCAUCUUCGGCGGUCCGCCGUCCAGAAGAGAAAAGCCAUUGGUGAGGAAGUGGCUCGACUGUUGGCGGCAGGAUUUAUCCGAUAGAUAUACCACUCCGAGUGGCUCGCUAAUGUCGUCAUGGUUCCUAAGAAGGACAAAUCACUCCGAAUGUGCAUUGAUUUCAAGCACAUCAACCGUGCCUGCCCGAAAGAUCAUUUUCCUCUCCCUCGCAUAGAUCAAAUUGUUGACUCGACCGCGGGAUGCGAGAGAUUGUCUUUUCUAGACGCCUACUCCGGGUACCACCAGAUCCGUCUGUACGGACCCGACGAGGUAAAAACAGCUUUCAUCACUCCAUUCGGGUGCUUCUGCUAUAUCACCAUGCCAUUCGGCCUCAAGAAUGCCGGAGCCACAUUUAUGCGAAUGAUUCAGAAGUGUCUACUCACUCAAAUCAGUCGGAAUGUGGAAGCGUAUAUGGAUGAUAUCGUCGUCAAGUCACGAAAAGGUUCCGACCUACUCGCUGACCUCGCCGAAACAUUUGCCAACCUCAGAAGGUAUGAUAUCAAGCUCAAUCCAUCAAAGUGCACAUUCGGAGUUCCUGGUGGCAAGUUACUCGGUUUUUCUCGUUUCCGAGCGAGGGAUCGACGCUAAUCCAGAGAAGAUUGGCACUAUUCUCCGAAUGAAACGCCCUGUGCGAGUGCACGAUGUCCAGAAGCUUACUGGAUGCUUGGCCGCAUUAAGUCGAUUCAUCUCACGACUCGGUGAAAAGGCAUUGCCUCUUUACCGACUGAUGAAGAAGGCAGACAAGUUCGAGUGGACUCCAGAAGCUGAUGCAGCAUUUGCCGAGCUAAAAGCUCUGCUCUCCACCCAGCCGGUGCUUGCUGCUCCAAUCAGCAAAGAGCCUUUGUUGCUUUAUAUCACAGCCACAGGACAAGUCGUCAGUACUGUGCUUACGGUCGAGCGGGAAGAAGAAGGAAAAGCUUUCAAAGUUCAGCGCCCAGUGUAUUAUUUGUCUGAAGUCUUGACUCCAUCCAAGCAAAGAUAUCCUCAUUAUCAGAAGCUUGUGUAUGGAAUAUACAUGACCACAAAGAAGGUUGCUCAUUAUUUCUCUGAUCAUUCCAUCACAGUCGUCAGCGACGCUCCACUAUCAGAGAUCUUGCACAACAGAGAUGCAACUGGUCGAGUGGCUAAAUGGGCGAUUGAACUUCUUCCCCUUGAUAUCAAGUUUGAGGCAAAGAAAGCCAUUAAGUCCUAGGCAAUAGCAGAUUUCCUUGCCGAGUGGAUUGAACAGCAGCAGCCGACUGAAGUUCACUCGGAGCAUUGGACCAUGUUCUUUGAUGGCUCUAAGAUGUUGAAUGGUUCCGGUGCUGGGGUUGUCCUGGUUUCCCCCAGAGGAGAUAAGCUCAGAUAUGUGCUCCAGAUUCACUUUGAUUCCUCCAACAAUGAGGCAGAAUAUGAGGCCCUCUUAUACGGAUUGCGCAUGGCCAUUUCACUCGGCGUCCGUUGCCUGAUGGUCUAUGGCGACUCGGAUUUAGUGGUCAACCAAGUGAUGAAGGAGUGGGAUGUGAGAAGCCCAGCCAUGACUGGAUACUGCAGUGCAGUGAGGAAGCUGGAAAAGAAGUUCGAGGGGUUGGAGCUCCAUCAUAUACCCCGACUGAAAAAUCAAGCAGCUGAUGAUCUAGCAAAGAUAGGUUCCAAGAGAGAAGCCAUUCCGAGUGGUGUGUUCUUGGAGCAUAUACACACUCCGACAGUCAAAGAAGAUCCUUUCACCGAAGAAGCUCCACAGCCCAAGAGUGCCACAGAUCCGACUGAGGUUGAAGUCCCAGCAGUGGUCGACUUGGUCAUGGAGGUCUUGGUGGUCAUUCCCGACUGGACAGUUCCAUAUAUCGCGUAUAUCCUGAGAAAAGAGCUCCCGGAGGAUGAGGAAGAGGCUCGACAGAUCGUCCGUCGAUCUAAAGCUUUUACCGUAAUCAAAGGACAGUUAUACAGAGAAAGCGCGACUGGAGUUGGUCAGAAGUGCAUAACACCAGAAGAAGGUCGAAUCAUCCUUAAUGAUAUCCACUCGGGAACCUGUGGUCAUCAUGCGUCCUCUCGGACCAUCGUGGCCAAAGCAUACCGAGCCGGAUUCUACUGGCCAAAGGCGAAUGAGAUGGCAAAGGAAAUAGUGGAUAAGUGCGAAGGAUGUCAGUUCUACUCGAAUAUGUCACACAAGCCUGCAUCAGCUCUGAAGACCAUUCCACUCGUCUGGCCUUUCGCAGUAUGGGGGUUGGACAUGGUCGGUCCUUUGAGAACAGGUCGAAGUGGCUUCACGCAUGUACUGGUGGCAGUCGACAAGUUCACCAAGUGGAUUGAGGCUAAACCAAUCAAGAACCUUGACGCCGGUGCUGCUGUUAGCUUCAUCAGGGAACUGAUAUUCAGAUAUGGAGUCCCACACAGCAUCAUUACGGAUAAUGGGUCGAACUUUGACUCGGAGGAAUUCAGAGAUUUCUGUAACUCUCAAGGCACACGAGUCGACUACGCUUUAGUCGCCCAUCCGCAGUCGAAUGGACAAGCAGAGUGAGCCAAUGGCCUGAUUCUCAAGGGAUUGAAACCCCGACUGAUGCGUGAUCUCAAGCAUGCAGCUGGAGCUUGGGUCGACGAACUUCCCUCGGUGCUUUGGGGACUGCGGACCACACCUAAUCGGUCGACCGGAAGAACUCCAUUCUUCUUGGUCUACGGAGCUGAAGCAGUCUUGUCGAGUGAUCUUCUCCACAAUGCUCCUCGAGUUGAAAUCUACAACGAAGCAGAAGCUGAACAAGCGCGCCAGGACGCAGUCGACCUUUUAGAGGAAGAAAGGGAGAUGGCUCUGAUCCGGUCGACCAUCUACCAACAAGAUUUGCGUCGUUUCCAUGCCAGAAAUGUGAGGGGUCGAGCCUUCCAGGAAGGAGAUUUAGUUCUCCGAGUGGAUCAGAAGAAACAACACAAGCUUGCUCCUUCUUGGGAAGGACCCUUCAUCGUCACCAAAGUUCUCCACAACGGGGCAUACCGUCUUUACAACGUCGAACAUAAUAUCGACGAACCCCGAGCUUGGAAUGCAGAACUACUCCGCCCAUUUUACGCUUAAGUUUAAUCACUCGGAUGAGUUGCAAUAAAGUACUUCUGUAGUUCAUGGAUCUCAAAAUAAUAGUGUCAUAGUUCCUCCAUAAUUUUUGGCACUUUUUAUUUUGUCCAAUAAAAUUUUCCCCUCAGUGGGUGACUUAGCCGCGAAUCCGUUUCGCCUAAGUUUGUAAAAAUCCUACCGAGUGGUGAGCCAGACUCCCACUCAGAGGCUUAGCUGCGAAUCCGUUUCGCCUAAGAUUAAAUAAAAUCCUACCGAGUGGUAAGCCAGACUUCCACUCGGAGGCUUAGCUGCAGUCCAAGUACUCGCCUAAGAUAUAAAAAUCCUACCGAGUGAAGAGCAAACCUCUCACUCGGGGGCUUAGCUGCAGCCCAGUGCUCGCCUAAGAUAUAAAAAUCCUACCGAGUGAAGAGCAAACCUCUCACUCGGNNNNNNNNNNNNNNNNNNNNNNNNNNNNNNNNNNNNNNNNNNNNNNNNNNNNNNNNNNNNNNNNNNGAGUGGUAAGCCAGACUUCCACUCGGAGGCUUAGCUGCAGUCCAAGUACUCGCCUAAGUUAUAAAAAUCCUACCGAGUGGUAAGCCAAACUUCCACUCGGAGGCUUAGCUGCAGUCCCAGUGCUCGCCUAAGAUAUAAAAAUCCUACCGAGUGAAGAGCAAACCUCUCACUCGGAGGCUUAGCUGCAGUCCAAGUACUCGCCUAAGAUAUAAAAAUCCUACCGAGUGAAGAGCAAACCUCUCACUUGGGGGCUUAGCUGUAGCCCAGUGCUCGCCUAAGAUAUAAAAAUCCUACCGAGUGAAGAGCAAACCUCUCACUUGGAGGCUUAGCUGCAGCCCAGUGCUCGCCUAAGAUAUAAAAAUCCUACCGAGUGAAGAGCAAACCUCUCACUCGGAGGCUUAGCUGCAGCCCAGUACUCGCCUAAGAUAUAAAAAUCCUACCGAGUGAAGAGCAAACCUCUCACUCGGGGGCUUAGCUGCAGCCCAGUGCUCGCCUAAGAUAUAGAAAUCCUACCGAGUGAAGAGCAAACCUCUCACUCGGGGGCUUAGCUGCAGUCCAAGUACUCGCCUAAGUUAUGAAAAUCAUACCGAGUGAAGAGCAAACCUCUCACUCGAGGGCUUAGCUGCAGCCCAGUGCUCGCCUAAGUGGAUUAAGGAAUAAGUCGACUGCAGUGAGCGUCUUGCCUUGAGCCUGCAAAAGACAUUUCGACCCAAAAGCAAUCAUAUUCAAACACCAAGUUCAAGUUGGGAUCGAUUCCAAAAGGAACCGAAAGUGCUCAGGCACUAAGCCUGUUAAAGUUUAUCGGUUACAACUCCACUCGACAUACCGAGGCAAAUUUAAAGCAUCAAGUUUAGAAGAAGUUUUUUACCCCUCCUGUGGAGGGCUGGAAAGUGCAACAAACUCAUCAAGAUCGAUUCCAUCUGCGAUCCAAGUGGCAGCAGCAAGGAAAGUUUCCAUAAAGGACCUGAAGUCGUGUUUCUUGGUGUUGGCCACCCGGAGGGCUGCCAGCUUGUCUUCUCGCGCAUCUUUGCAGUGGACUCGGGCCAGACACAGAGCAACAUCUGCACCGCACCGAGCCGAGGACUUUUUCCACUCCUGCACUCGACCAGGGACUGUGUUCAAGCGAGCCAUCAGCGACUCGAGGUCAUUCUGGAGUGUCUCCCCAGGCCAGAGCGUCGAGUCGAUGCGAGAUGUGGCGACCUUCAGCCUUGCAAGAUAGUCCAUGACAGCUGCAACACGGGACUCCAGUCGGAAAACAUUCAUGGCAACUUCGUCGUUCACCGGAGAAUUGACGGGGUCAAGGUUUGGUUCCAGCCGGCUAGUUUCUUCUUCAAAGUUUUGACAAAAUUCUGCAAGGACGAUCACCGAGUCAAAGCAAUGGUCGAAUGGAAAAAUCACGAUUGGAAAUGAUUGCCGAGCAUAGAGAUUUACCUUCAAGCAUAAGAAACAGCUUCUUGGCAAGACCAUUCAGGAAGGCCUCCAGAUCUUUUUUCUUCCCAAGAGCAGCUUUCAGAUUGGUAUUUUCUUGCUCAAGCUUUGCGACUGAAGCUAACUUCUCGUCAACAAGCUUGAUCUUCUUAGCUAGUUCAAGGUCUUUCUUCCGUUGGGCCUCCCUCACCUUACCUGCAAGUUACAGCAAGAUCAGAUUUUGAAACAAAUGAAGGGAAAAAGCAGUCGUCAAGGUCUCACCAAACAUACCUUCGGUCUCCUCCUUUGCCUUCGUCAGAUUCUCCUGAACCAGUUUCAAAUUCAGCUCGAGCUGAAUGUGCUUGUUUUCCAGCUCAGAGUAGCGAGCCACAAGAUCACAGGAGUUCUGCGAAGAACCAAUCGACUAAAUGUCAAAUAUAAUUCACUUCCGAGUGAAAAAGGAAAAAUCACGCGUUUCUAAGACUACAGGCGAAUACAAGCAUUCGACUAUAGUCUCGGGGACUACACCCAGUGGGUGCACUCAGCGUGCCCCCACUAAUCCUAUUGAAGAUAAAGUCGAGCAGUCGACCUCAAAAAAGAGAUAUAUUCUUUAAGACUGUAAUCGACUGCCAGCAGUCGACCACAGUCUCGGGGACUACACCCAGUGGGUGCACUCAGCGUGCCCCCACCGGUUUGCGAAAUCCAUUCGACAUAAUCGAAUGACGGAAAGACUGAACUUAUGAAGCCUAAGACCGACUGCCAGCAGUCGACCUUAGCCUUGGAGACAGAGUCGACCAGUCGACCGGUUUGCGAAAUCCAGUCGCCAUAGUCGAAUGACGGAAAGACUGAAAUUAUAAAGCCUAAGGCCGACUGCCAGCAGUCGACCUUAGCCUUGGGGACUACACCCAGCGGGUGCACUCAGCGUGCCCCCGCUAACACGGAGUUUAACUCGACACACCCAGUGGGUGACUACUAUAAAUUCUGGAAAGGAAAGUUUUUGAUAGCAUAUCCUAACAGAACAAAUGGUGGUCGACUGGCCUGAACAUUGCUUUGGAGGGCGGAACUGGCGUCGUAAGCUGCCUGGCUCGCAUCCCGGAUGGUCUUCAACUGCUCCAUCAUGAUCCCUGCCUGGCGUAUCGCCUCCUUCGCUGCGCCAGCUUGGUCCUCUGGGACGUGGUGCAUCGUGAAGAGGGAGGGCUGCGGAGCACUCGUCAGUGGAUCUGCAAAGGACACGGUGUGUCGAGUGGUGUUCUCCUCCUCCGCGACCAGAGUCUCAGGCACCGUCACAUCCUGGGUCACCCUGCUGGCAGACGCUUUCCUACUCCUUCUGUACUUCAGCGGUUCCUCAUCUUCAUCGUCAUCAGGGAGAGUGAUAACAACAUUGGAUGGAGCUACAGAAAAGAAUCAGGAUUAGAUCAUGAGUCAGUCGACUAAAGACGGUGUUAAGAGUAUAGUACCAGGUUUUGAGGUUGUUGCGUCCUCCAUCUCAUGGUCGUCAGCCCGGGCCGAGGUCUCAGAAGUAGCAGCACUGCAACUCCAAAGAGUCAGUCGACUAACUCCAGCGCCAGCCAGAGAUAAAGUUCACACAAAACAAGAAGACUUAAGCAACACGUUACCAUGAUAUGGUGGGGAUGGACACCUUCAUCUUCGGCAGGUGCUUGGUCAGCUUCGACGGGGCCGCCCUGGGCUGCUUCGACGCCUUUUCAGUCGGCGCCGGAGAGGUGGUCCGAGGGCGUUUGGUCGACUGUGUAACAGUCGCAACCCCCUCGCCGCGUUCGGUCGCAGGGUCAUGGACAAGUUUCGACCGCCUUUCCGAGCGCGGUGGUGCAACCUCCUCCUCCUCCUUCUCUCCCUCGUCCUCAUCGUCAUCUUCAUCAUCAUCAUCAUCAUCAUCAUCAUCAGCCUCAGCGGCGUCCGAGUCCCACUCCUCCUCCUGGCUCUCGCCCCCGCUCGCUUCUCCCUCCUCGGUCGGAGCCUGUGCUCCAUUGGGCAUCGAGUACAGCUCAGUGAGGGCCUGAUAGACAUCAAGACAAAGAUCAGUCAACCGAUCAGCAGAGAAAACAGAAAUGAAUGUGACGAGAAUACAAUGGGAAGUGGAGCAGACAUACCUUGUUUGGAUCACUGUGGCAGUCGAGUGCAGGAAUCCUUCUGGCUCCGUGAGGGUUAUCUUUGUUCCCAGUAACAGCGGCCAUCCACCUUUCCAGAGUGGUAUCGUCGACUGUUUCUGGAUUGACCCGAGUCACAUCCUCAGUCCUGCAGUACAACCACAUGCAAUGGCUCCGGAACUGAAGAGGCUGGAUUCGACGCCUAAGGAAAACCUCCAGGAGAUCCAUACCCGUCACUCCCUCCCGAACCAACUGAACUACGCGCUCCAUCAGCAUCUUCACGUCAGCUUUCUCCUCCGGAAUCAACUUCAGAGAGGAGGGCUUGUUCACUCGGUCCAUGGUAAAUUGAGGGAGUCCACUCGACUGCCCCGGCGUCGACUGAUCCUGGCAGUAGAACCAGGUCGACUGCCAGCCUCUGACUGACUCGGGAAAUGUCAUGGCUGGGAAGGUGCUCUUGUUCCUCACCUGGAUCCCCAGACCUCCACACAUUUGGACAACUCGGGUUCUUUCGUCGCCUGAGCUCGCCUUCUUCACGGUUUGAGAGCGACACGUGAAUAUGUGCUUGAACAAGCCCCAAUGCGGUCGACAGCCCAGAAAACUCUCACACAUGGACACAAAUGCGGCAAGAUAGGCGAUAGAAUUCGGGGUGAAGUGGUGGAGUUGCGCUCCAAAAAAGUUCAAGAAACCACGGAAGAAAAUGCUCGGCGGCAAAGAGAAUCCGCGGUCGACAUGGGUAGCCAGAAGCACGCACUCACCCUCUUCCGGCUGAGGCUGCCACUCUUUCCCCGGAAGCCUCGCAGCUCCAUGAGGGAUCAGGCCCUCGUUGGCCAUGUCGAGGAGAUCCUUCUCCGUGAUGGUCGACUGGAUCCAAUCUCCCUGGACCCAGCCUUUCGGCAGGCGAGAUCUAGACGAAGACCCGCCGCGGCUGGUGGAUCUCCCCUUCGCCUUCUCCGUCACCGACGCCUUCUUCGCGCGCUCCAGCGCCGCCGUCUUCUCCUUGACCAUGGCUACUGGCGAGGCGCGUGAGGAGAAGUUGUGCGGAGGCGAGAGCGUGCGCGUUGGGCAGAGACGAAGGGAGCAGAGAGAGAAUGCUGAGGUACUGUUCAAAAAACCCUCGCCGGGCCCAUUUAUAAGAUCCCUUCCGAGUGGAUGACAGGUGGGCCCGGUCGAUCUAAUCAUAUCCUGUAACAGUUGCGCAAGCAUGAUACGUGGCGAAAAAAGCGGCACGGGAAUUGAGGCGUCUAUGCCCCGUCCCAUCCGAGCGCCGCGCUCCGCUCCGCUUCGCGCGCUCCCCCAAAUUCCGUAUCCCACGGAAUCUGCGGACGGCAGAUCAGUCUGCCAGACGCGGGAUUUCCUGCGAUCCGUCGCUCGGAAAUCAGCGAAGUCCAAAAAGAUCACUCGACGAAGAAGAAGAAUGGAUCGAGUCGACUGAAGAAAAGUUGUUCACUAUCAACAGAGAGAAUUUUUUGGUUCAAAAACAACGCACAACCAGUAUGCAAAAGCUAAUCGGAAACAACAUCAACUCCUUCAUCACUCAAGCCUCAAUCCAUUCGGGGGCUAAUGAUGGAGUCACAUACCUAGGGUAGGGUCACGGAUCUGAUCUAAGUACCCUGCCCGAGGACACCCUUAGAAGAGAUCACCUUCCAGUCGACCUACGAGGGACUCACUCGACUGACUUGAAGGACUCGACCACGAAGACUCACUCGACCACCAGAAGGUCAAGAAGCACUCUGCACGGCAACGGCCUGUAAUUAAGUAGACUUUAUGAUAGUAAAGACACUUUAUGUGGGGCGUUACCUGUAACGCCCCGGACUUAAUACACCUUAAACCCUUCAUUACGUGGGCUGGCUGGGGACCUGGCGCACUCUAUAUAAGCCACCCUCCUCCACAGGCAGAAGGGUUCGGCACUCUGUAACUCAUAUACGCAUAAUCCACUCGACCGCCUCUGGGCUCCGAGACGUAGGGCUUUUACUUCCUCCGAGAAGGGCCUGAACUCGUACAUCUCUUGUGCUUACAACCUCUCCAUAGCUAGGACCUUGCCUCUCCAUACCUACCCCCCACUCUACUGUCAGACUUAGAACCACGACAGAGGGCGCAUGCAUGUGCCCGAUUCAUGGCAGGGAGCCAGGGUACCGGAUACGUACGUGUCGUGUCAGUAUGUAUGUGACCUUUUUUUUUCAUGAUAACACGUGUCUCAUUUAUAUCAUAAAGAUUAAAGUACAAGUCACAUAAGAACCGACAUGACAAAACUAAAAAGAUAGCAGAACAUCUCUGAGCUUGAAAUCAACGCCCAUCACCUGCCUCCGGCACCACAACAGCAGCCACCGAAGAAAAGAAUGAUGGAUCACCUUCUCAUCCGAGCUCAAUGUGGCUCCAUCGCUGAUAUGCAACUUUUGCGGACCUUCAAGGUGGCUCACCAAAAGUGAAGUCCUUACAGUUGAAGGAAUCAAACCGGGGCAACACCCCGAACACGCCAUCGAACUCUAGAUCUGGCACCCCACCACGACUAAGACGCCGCAAAAGGAAACCAUACCUGUCAUCCACGAACCACGAACCCAACACAAGUUCCGUCUUCCAGAUAUCGUCGAUGCAGACCACAAUCUGUAUCCGCUCCUGGACUACCUCCCAAGCUCCGCGCCGAUGUUGGAGCAAACGCCGUCGCAACGGUGGAGCCCGACGACACAACUCCACCAUGAGGAUGCCGCCGCCGCCACACUAUCCUUGUUUGAACAGACUGGUUUCCAAAUCCAUCCUCAACCAUAGGACUGAUGGCCUUGUCAAGGAAGGAUCCGAAGAAUCUUUAUUCAGCGCUGUCAUCGUCGCCGCGGAAGCAAAGACGAUGAACAACCUAAAAACCUAGACUACGAGGGAGUAAAAGCGAUCCAGACGCAUUGAUCCGGCGACCCGCUCACCAUCGACGACCGAGGUCGCCGGCGGAGGGGAGGCGCCGGAGGACAGCGCUGGAAGAUUGGGCUCUCCUGGCGGCGGCUAGGGUUCCAGCCGCCAGGGACAGGAGAGGUGCUAGCUACCUUGAACAUGCAUGUGACCCUCUUCGUACCCGGGCAUGGGCGCGCUCACCCUCUUCGUACUCGGGCAUGGGCGCGCUCCGCCUGGUUUUGCAUGUACAAUGGCAGUUGAGUACACGUACGUACUGACCACUUUCAUCGCCUAAUCAGUUUAUUUUGUUGCACCGCGCUCGCUGUGGCCAUUUGUGCAGCGAGAGCGCGAGAGGUUGACAACGACAGAGAGACGAGUUGCGAAUCAUGGCGAGGCUAGUGGAUGACGCGACAUAAAUGAAUGGGUGGUACAAGCAAACGUGGUAUGAUUUCUGUAUCGAUUACCUUCUGAGAGAUUGCAUUGAGGAAUGCACAUAGCUUCACAAUGGCUAAUCGAACGUUUUCGGGUAGAAGCCCCCUCAAUGCAACCGGAAGCAGUUGCGUCAUAAUCACGUGGCAGUCAUGAGACUUUAGGUUCUGAAACUUUUUCUCUGCCAUAUUUAUUAUUCCCUUUAUAUUCGACCAGAAGUCAGGCGGUACCUUCAUACUGAGCAGGCAUUCAAAAAAGAUUUUCUUUUCUUCUUUGGUAAGAGCGUAGCUGGCCUGACCCUGAUGUAUGCCGUCUUUUCUGUGCAUACGUUGCUAGUCCUACCGUGCCUCUGGUGUAUCUUUUGUCUUCUCAUACACGCCCAAGAAGCCAAGCAGGGUCAUGCAAAGAUUCUUCGUCACGUGCAUCACGUCGAUUGCGGAGCGGACCUCUAGGUCUUUCCAAUAUGGUAGGUCCCAAAAUAUAGAUUUCUUCUUCCACAUGGGUGCGCGUCCAUCAGCGUCCUUCAGAACAGGUUGUCCGCCAGGACCCUUUCCAAAAAUUACCUUCAAAUCCUUGACCAUACCAUGUACACCAGCACCAGUACGGUGGCGAGGCUUCAUCCGGUGAUCCGGCUCACCUUCGAAAUGCUUGCCUUUCUUUCUUACGGGAUGCCUGCUCGGAAGAAAUGGACGAUGUCCCAGGUACACAUUCUUCCUACAACUAUCCAAAUAUAUAUUGUCGGUAUCAUCCAAACAGUGCGUGCAUCUGCGGUAUCCCUUGUUUGUCUGUCCUGAAAGGUUACUGAGAGCAGACCAAUCAUUGAUGGUCACGAUAGCAACGCCUUUAGGUCAAUUUCUUCAUGUUUGUGCCCAUCCCACGCACGUACACCUUUUCCAUUCCACAACUGUAAUAGUUCUUCAACUAAUGGCCUUAGGUACACAUCAAUAUCGUUGCCGGGUUGCUUAAGGCCUUGAAUGAGCACUGGCAUCAUAAUGAACUUCCGCUUCAUGCACAACCAAGGAGAAAGGUUAUACAAACAUUGAGUCACAGGCCACGUGCUAUGAUUGCUGCUCUACUCCUCAAAAGGAUUAAUGCCAUAUGCACUUAGACCAAACCAUACGUUCCUUGGGUCACCUGCAAACUCCUCCAUGUACUUUCUCUCGAUUUUUCUCCACUGCGACCCGUCAGCAGGUACUCUCAACUUUCCGUAUUUCUUACGAUCUUCUCCGUGCCAUCGCAUCGCCUUCGCAUGCCCUUUGUUUUGGAACAAACGUUUCAACCGUGGUAUUAAGCAGCAUACCACAUCACCUUGGCAGGAAUCUUCUUUCUGGGGCGCUCGCCCUCGACAUCAUCAGGGUCAUCGCGACUGAUCUUAUAACGCAAUGCACCGCAUACCAUGCAAGCGUUCAAAUCCUCGUACUCACCGCGGUAGAGGUGUUGGGGAAUGUAGUAAUUUCAAAAAUCUUCCUACGUACACGCAAGAUCAUGGUGACGGCAUAGCAACGAGAGGGGAGAGUGUUGUCCAUGUACCCUCGUAGACCGUAAGCGUUAGCGUUAGCCCAACGCGGUUGAUGUAGUCGUACGUCUUCACGAUCCGACCGAUCCAAGCACCGAACGUACGGCACCUCCGAGUUCAGCACACGUUCAGCUCGAUGACGAUCCCCGGGCUCCGAUCCAGCAAAGCUUCGGGGAUGAGUUCCGUCAGCACGACGGCGUGGUGACGAUGAUGAUGCUCUACCGGCGCAGGGCUUCGCCUAAACUCUGCGACGAUAUGACCGAGGUGGAAUAUGGUGGAGGGGGGCACCGCACACGGCUAAGGAACGAUCCGUAGAUCAACUUGUGUUCCAUGGGGUGCCCCCUGCCCCCGUAUAUAAAGGAGCAAGGGGGGAGGGGGCGGCCGGCCUAGGAGGGGCGCGCCAAGGGGAGUCCUACUCCCACCGGGAGUAGGACUCCCUUCUUCCUUGUUGGAGUAGGAGAAGGGGGGAAAGAGGGGGAGAGGAGGAAGGAAAGGGGGGCCGCACCCCUUGUCCAAUUCGGACCAGAGGGGGGCUGCGCGCCUCCUUCCUUUUGGCCUCUCUCCUCUAUUCCCAUAUGGCCCAAUAAGGCCCAUAUACUCCCCGGCGAAUUCCCGUAACUCUCCGAUACUCCGAAAAAUACCCGAAUCGCUCAGAACCUUUCCGAACUCCGAGUAUAGUCGUCCAAUAUAUCGAUCUUUACGUCUCGACCAUUUCGAGACUCCUCAUCAUGUCCCCGAUCUCAUCUGGGACUCCGAACUCCUUUGGUGCAUCAAAACUUAUAAACUCAUAAUAAAACUGUCAUCGAACCCUUAAGCGUGCGGACCCUACGGGUUCGAGAACUAUGUAGACAUGAUCUAGAACUAUUCUUGGUCAAUAACCAAUAGAAGAACCUGGAUGCCCAUAUUGGUUCCUACAUAUUCUACAAAGAUCUUUAUCGGUCAAACCGCAUAACAACAUACAUUGUUCCCUUUGUCAUCGGUAUGUUACUUGCCCGAGAUUCGAUCGUCGGUAUCUAAUACCUAGUUCAAUCUCGUUACUGGCAAGUCUCUUUACUCGUUACGUAAUGCAUCAUUCCGUAACUAACUCAUUAGAUACAUUGCUUGCAAGGCUUAUAGUGAUGUGCAUUACCGAGAGGCCCCAGAGAUACCUCUCCGACAAUCAGAGUGACAAAUCCUAAUCUCGAAAUACGCCAACCCAACAUGUACCUUUGGAGACACCUGUAGUACUCCUUUAUAAUCACCCAGUUACGUUGUGACGUUUGGUAGCACCCAAAGUGUUCCUCCGGUAAACAGGAGUUGCAUAAUCUCAUAGUUACAGGAACAUGUAUAAGUCAUGAAGAAAGCAAUAGCAACAUACUAAACGAUUAAGUGCUAGGCUAACGGAAUGGGUCAUGUCAAUCACAUCAUUCUUCUAAUGAUGUGAUCCUGUUAAUCAAAUGACAACUCAUGUCUAUGGCUACGAAACUUAACCAUCUUUGAUUCAACGAGCUAGUCAAGUAGAGGCAUACUAGUGACUAUAUGUUUGUCUAUGUAUUCACACAUGUAUCAUGUUUCCGGUUAAUACAAUUCUAGCAUGAAUAAUAAACAUUUAUCAUGAAAUAAGGAAAUAAAUAAUAACUUUAUUAUUGCCUCUAGGGUAUAUUUCCUUCAAGAGGAUGCAGUCAUUAGGGCAGCAUGUAUCUUCUGCACCUCUAACCCUAGAGGGUAGACAACCUGCUUUGCUUCAUAUGUACUCUCGGGCAAUUCAUUGUCCUUUGGAAGAAUAUUCUUUAUCAUUACCAUCAACUUUCCAAAUCCCUUGUCAGAUACACCAUUCUCUGUCUUCCAUUGCAGCAAUUCCAGUGUGGUACCCAACUUUUUUUUAUCAGCUUCGCAAUUCGGGUACAACAAUUUCUUGUGAUCCUCUAACAUGUGUUGCAACUUCUUCUUCUCCAAAUCACUUGCGUAGUUUUCUUUGCAUCGGCAAUGGCCCGACCUAGAUCAUCAGCGGGCUCAUCUGAUGCCUCUUCUUCAGCUUCUUCCCGCAUUACCGGCUCAGCUUUUUCCCCCAUUGUUGUAUCAUAGUAUUAAGGGAACUCAUGGCCAGGAUAGCUGUCGUCAUCCUCUUCUUCUUCAUUGUCUUCCAUCAUAACCCCUCUUUCUCCGUGCUUGGUUCAAACAUUAUAGUGGGGCAUGAAACCGGACUCAAAUAGGUGGACGCGAAUGGUUCUUGACGUAGAGUAAUUGUGACCAUUCUUACAGCCAGCACAUGGACAAGGCAUAAAACCAUCUGCCCGCUUGUUUGCCUUGGUGACAAGCAGAAAAGUAUGCACGCCAUUAAUGAACUCGGGAGAGCAUCGGUCAUCAUACAUCCAUUGUCGGCUCAUCUUCAUUACACAACACCGAAAAGACCAAAUUAAUACAAGUUCAUACAUAAAGUUCAUACAUAUAUAUAGUUCAUACAACACUUAAAUGCAACAAACAAAUAACUCUCUAGCCAAAGCAUUUAAAUGCAACAACAAAUGCGAUGAAGAUUGCAACUAAAGUAAUAAUUGAUUCAACAAUAUAAUGAUACCAAUCCUCACUAUCAAUGGCAUAUUUUCUAAUCUUUCUAAUCUUCAAGCGCAUUUUCUCCAUCUUAAUCUUGUGAUCAUCGACGACAUCGGCAACAUGCAACUCCAAUUCUAUCUUCUCCCCCUCAAUUCUUUUUAAUUUUUCUUUCAAAUACUCGUUUUCUCUUUCAACUAAAUUCAACCUCUCGACAAUACGGUCAGUUGGAAUUUCUGGUUCACAUACCACCUAGAUAAAAAUAUCUAUGUCAACUUGAUGGGCAUAAUUUGUCAUAAACACGAAAUGCAACAACUAGUUUGAAAACAGAAGAUACCACAUCCGAAUCAUAACAAGGACGAGGGCCGACGGGGACGGAUAUCAAAACCAUGGCACUAUGUAUAAGAAACAACGUACGGGUAAGAUAAUUAUACGAGUAACUAUAUAUCCAAAUCACACAAACAUCAAUUUGGUAAUGUAAAACAUUCAUGAACAAGAGCCUCACCACAAGGUGGUGUCGGCGACGGGACGGUGCGGGCGAUCGAUGGUGGUUACGACGGAGAUUUAGAAGGCACUAAGUAAACCACACCUACGUAUGCAAACUAAGUGUUAUUUUUGACCUCAAAUUGCGUAUAAAUCAAAUACUAGCACAUGUAAUUCCUCCCAAAUUACUAAACUCACAAAUUAAUCACUAUACAAAGCAUUGCAAGAGCUAAUCUAGCAAUGAGAGAUGAAAGGACAAAGUUUCUAACCUUUGUAAUCAUUUGAAUGGAUGGGGGCCUUCAAAUUUUGAUAAAUUUUGGGCAAAAUGUGUGAUGAGCUCAAGGAAGAGGGGAAGAACAGAGGAGGAGAGGGGAAAGGGGAAGAACAGAGCGAGCUCGGGUGGAUGAAGGGUUUAUCUAGGAUAACCUUUAGUACCGGUUAGUAACACAAACCGGUACUAAAGGUGCUAGAGGGGCCCUAGACUGACAACAUCCUGCUACCACUCACUUUAGUACCGGUUCAUGACACGAACCGGUGCUAAAGGUUCGCUACAAACCGGUACUAAUGAGAGCGGCCGGCUAGCCGUUGGAACCUGCACUAAUGGACACAUUAGUGACGGCUCAAAAUCAAACCGGCACUAAUGUGCUUCACAUUUGACCUUUUUUCUACUAGUGGAAACGUCUACAUUUAACUUGACAAAACCCAUAGGAGGUCUGCUCCACCCCAUUUUUUACUUAUAGCAUUAGGUUCACCUCAAAAAAAAAAAUUAUUGCAUUAGGGGACUAAGCAUUGUCAAAAUUUGCCGUUAUAGCAUAAAUCCCAUAUAGACACCUGGAUUGUAGAUUGAGACUUUCCUUCAUGAACCAGCUUACGUCUAUCCCACUAUCAAGUGGUUAUGGCAAUCAAUUCAUGAACAUUCUGCAUACCCAAACUAGGUAAAUCUUGAUCUGGCAUCAUGAGUAAGAAUUCAAAGAACACCUAAACUCCUGUAUCACCUUAUAUUCUCUCGUGAGUCUAUGUGUGUGUUGUGCGUGCGUGUGUGCCUUUUUUUUUUGCUUUGUGUGUGCAUGUGUAUGUUAGUGUGUGUGUGCACGCGCUCCCGCGUGCGUGCGUGCAUGCUGGGUGUGCGGCCUGUGGUAUGUGCACACAUGUGUGAUGUAUGUAUGUACGUGGUCAUUCUUGUGUGCGCUUACCAGUGUUUGUGUUCCUCACCAUACCAACGAUUGAUGCAAUUAAGCUUCGACGCGCUCGUGUCGUGUGUGCGACGUAUCGCAUCAACAUGAGAUAAGACGAAAUAUAUGUGCAAAUAUAUGUGCAAAUCGUACUAUUGUCUGGAAAUUUGCAUUGUUAAAUGCUUGUUGUUGUAUAUUGUGAAAAUGUGUAAUUUAUGUGGUUUUUGUCAUAAUUUGUGUGAGUCUUUAUUGUUGUAGAGUAACCAGAAGAUACUUCACGCGCACGCAGUUGCGGAGAUUAUUUUUUAUGAGACUUUAUGGUUUGAAACAUCAAUAUAUGAAUGAAUAAUAUGAGAGCUGGAACAAAUAAUGUAUGUAAUUUGUUUUAAUUGUUGAAAAUGGUCCUUUUCACAUGCAUGUUUGUAUUUGCUUUUUUUAGAAUGCAUGUUUGCAUUUCGAUAUGGGUAUUUUCCGUUCAUUUUGCACGUCGAUGUGGCAUGUGUGCUUAUUGAGAGAAAUAAAUUACGAGGAUUGAGAUGCCACGCGUGCAUGUUGAAAGAAAUAGGUCAAUGAGGAUCGUCUGCUUUUUGCAUUAGAGAAGUGAUGGUCGAAUAUCCAAUUCAGCUCCCGAGCUUAUCUACACCCUGUGAAAAGUAAAUUCAAAUAAAAUACUAAAAAAAAUCAAAAAAAUCUAAGAAUAUUUAUGGUUGAAGAUGCUUGAAUGUGUGAUGUUCGUGCCAAGUUUCAGCUCAUUCGGGCAUCUAAGUAGCUCUCAACAAAAAAAUCAGCUCCAAACAGUCCAAAACAAUAAACUUUUUCACAUACCUCAAUUUUUUCUGUUUUGCUGAGAGCUCGUCAGAUGUUCAAAUGCGCUGAAUUUUUGCAUGGACAUCACGAACUCCGCAUCCUUCACCACAAAGGAUUUGGGAUUUUUAAAAGUUUUGUGAAUUUAUUUUUCACUCGGGAGCCAAAACACCAUGUCCAGUGAGGGUCGUCUACUUAGUUACUACUCCCCCCGUCCCAUAAUGUAAGACGUUUUCUGACACUACACUAGUGUCAGAAAACGUCUUACAUUAUGGGACAGAGGGGGUAUAUAGGAUACUAGUGCCCUUAAUACAUGUUUCUAACUUAAAAAAUAUUUCUUAGAAAAAUAUGUCUUCGACUAGGUAAUUGUCCGUGUGUGCAACCGGUGUAAAUAUUGUAGUAUGUUUGCCUGUAAUUUACAGAUUCUAUAAAUAAAUAAAGUUUUUCUGAUAACCUAUUCGUGAUUUAAUUGUUAAAUAAGUUUUAGGAUUUUAUUUGAUAAAUACUUAUAUUUUGUAAACUAAUAUUGGCUUACCAAAAAACUUAAUUUUACAUGAUAAGUUAAUAAAAGGCGAGGUAAAAACAAUAAAGAGAGGAAGAAAUGAAGGUAUGUAAGAUUGGACGAAGGACGAGGUAGACGAGAGAACCUUCUGUUCUUUUAAGUAGGAAGGAAGGGAAGAGAUUUUCUUGUUUGUUAUUUCAGUCGCCCACAUGUAAUAUCAUCUAUCUCAACAAGGAAAUUAUCUUGUUAUUUUCUUUGAACACAAUAUAGAUGCAAGCGCUCAUAUAUACGUGCAUACACUCAUUUUUAUAAAUGCACACACGCGCAUCUUAUCCUUAUGAGCACCUUCGAAAGACUGAGCCGACAUAUCAUCUUGAGAUUUACGAAGUCAUCGUAGGUGUCCCAUCGUCGAUGGGAACAUCUCUUCCUACUAAAAACGCAUCGUCAGAAUCUUUGAAAUAAAUUCAGAAAUAACGCGAGCGCCUGAUCUCGGGUGGUACAUACGUGUUCACGAGGACUGUCGGUCGAUCUGUCUGCACGCGGUUGACCCUCUUGAUCAAGCAUGGCUGCUACCAGUGCACUGACAGGAUCAUGCAUAUGCAUGCAGGCGAGUGCACAGUACGUACUGACGACCGCUUUCACGCACCGUCGUGCAUCCAUUUUAACUUUGGUUUUUGCCAUUUAUGGUACGUCGUCAUGCAUGACGUGACGUGAUGUGAUCCUCUGAGCCGGCCGGCGGGCCUGCUCCUGCUUUCACCUCGGUUUAGGUGGGCGCUGGCAGACACGAGAUCCCGCGGCGGCGGCCGGAGGGCUCUGCGGCGCCGCUCGAGCCUCAAGGCGUUGGGUUGGUGGCUGGUGGACAGCCGGGCAUGCGUAGGUGGUUGCCUGGUUGGUCCGCGAUUUCAAUUGCGAUGGUUUGGCAAGCGUUCUGAGUGGCCAGUGGCGGAGUCAGGAUUCGAGUAUAGGGAGGGCGAGUACGUAUGUUGAUCGAAUCUNNNNNNNNNNNNNNNNNNNNNNNNNNNNNNNNNNNNNNNNNNNNNNNNNNNNNNNNNNNNNNNNNNNNNNNNNNNNNNNNNNNNNNNNNNNNNNNNNNNNNNNNNNNNNNNNNNNNNNNNNNNNNNNNNNNNNNNNNNNNNNNNNNNNNNNNNNNNNNNNNNNNNNNNNNNNNNNNNNNNNNNNNNNNNNNNNNNNNNNNNNNNNNNNNNNNNNNNNNNNNNNNNNNNNNNNNNNNNNNNNNNNNNNNNNNNNNNNNNNNNNNNNNNNNNNNNNNNNNNNNNNNNNNNNNNNNNNNNNNNNNNNNNNNNNNNNNNNNNNNNNNNNNNNNNNNNNNNNNNNNNNNNNNNNNNNNNNNNNNNNNNNNNNNNNNNNNNNNNNNNNNNNNNNNNNNNNNNNNNNNNNNNNNNNNNNNNNNNNNNNNNNNNNNNNNNNNNNNNNNNNNNNNNNNNNNNNNNNNNNNNNNNNNNNNNNNNNNNNNNNNNNNNNNNGGGGGGCAGGCCCCUAUGAGUGGCGGUGCAGGAUUCUCGGUUUCACGUGGUUUGCCGGUGCAGAUGCAGAUGGGGUUCAAGCUGCGUUUUGCAGAUUGUCACUGGCUCUCCGUCCUGAAAACGAUUGUGGGGUAUUUCAAGUUUUCAACCGCACUCCACCUAUACAAACGAUUGCGGGGUAUUUGGAACACAUUAAAUCUUGAAAAUGGUUGCAGGAUAUUUGGAACACAUUAAAUCUUGAAAAUGGUUGCGGGGUAUUUGGAACGCACUUCAUCCUGAAAACGAUUUCUCACGAGCACACCAUUUUUCCCUCCCACUUUUUUUUAUCAUCCAGGCCCCGUCGCACCCCCAUCACCCGGGGUGUCGUCUUGUGAACCAUGCAGACAUCGCCAUGCAUGGGCGCCACCUCAACCUUAGGGGUCCCGAUUUGUUGGUUUGUAGUCGGAUCCCACAACUUCAAUGGUCAUUGCACUCCAUGCACCUUUGAUCACCGUCCAACAUCGCACAGGCCAACACCUCGUCCACCUUGCGGCGACGAGGUGGAAAACCCUAUGCAGCCGCAUGUAGACACCGGCCUCUCCCCGCCAGUGCCGCAACGAUCCUCAACGAGUAGACCGAAGAAGACAGCGACUUGUCGCGCCCGAUCCUCUUCUUCCUUCGUCUUGGCGGUUGGCAAAACUCGGACGCCUUUCCAAUCAGACACGGGAGCGGUGACCACCUUGUUUUUGUUUGUUCGGUUGAAUGCGGCGUGCCCACAGAAAAAUGUUUGUGAUUUUGGGGGAUCGAUGGUGGAUGAAUCAUGUCUUAGAGAGUGCCAUUACUCUUGUGAGGGGAUGACAAGAGAUUUCUCUUGAUGCAGCGAGGGAACUAAGUGACCGCCCUCCUAGGGGAUGAUGAACACACAUGGAAGAACAGGGUGGUGAGCGCGCUGCCAACAUAUGAUUUUGGAAGCAUUCAAAGUGUUUGCAUGAAGAAAAUGAAGAAGAAUGGAGUCUGGCAUAAUCUUUGUAGUAGGAGAAGCGACAUCACUAUGUCGUCUUGAGAAAGAGGACUGGUGUGAAAAAACUUCUAUGUCGUCAACAACUAGGACUAUCAUAAUUAACCCUAGAAUCUGUUUGCAGCCAGUACUUGUAAUGGCUUUCUUUUAUUAGAGAGAGUAGUCCAAAUCUCUGAAUAUCUUGAGGGCCCAAAAACCCGACUCUGCCUUACGUAAAGUUGCUAGCCUCCGAAGCAUUAUGGUGCAUGCACCAAAGCAUACAUGCAAUAUAGCGACACGACGACUCUCUUAGAGUUGAUCUAAGGGCUUGUUAGGUGGAGAGGCUCAAAGCUCCAGCGAAGAUCUUAUCUUUCGAUGAUGGUGAUGAAGGCACUCAAGGAUGUCUUCCUUUUCUUCGAAGGCAUUGUGUGCAGUACCUCCUCUUUACUGAAUCAUGCCCGUUCAGCGCGGAGGAGUGAUGAAGGUUGUUGGUGUUGCCGAAUAGACACUCUCGAGGAUUGGUGAGGUGACCGUGCGCGGUUCUAAUCGAAAGCUUGUUUUUCAACAGGGUCUAUGUCGAUGACGACAACAUGCAUCCACGGAUGUCGUUUUCCUCCUCCUUGAGACGUUUCCGAAGACCUUUCUCACUAUCCCCAGGGGGCCGGUCAUAUGGUGGUUGAGGUCUACCUAGGGCGACUGUGGUGGGUUCUUUCUGUUGUUUGUACUUCUGUUCUUUGUGGUUUUUAUUCUAGUUUCAUUCAUAAAUUGACUAUGAAUUUUAGUUGUCUUUCAUUGUUCGUGUGAAAAUGGCAGACCUUCCGCCGUUGAAAAUACUACUAUCUCAUUCCAUAUUAAUUGACUCAAAUAGAUAUAUCUAUCACAAUGAAUAUAUGUAGCACUGAAAUACAUCUAAGAUAUAUCUAUCAUAAUGCAUGAACGUAUCUAGCUAGCACUAAAAUAUGUUUAGAUAUAUAUAUUUGGCGUCAAAUUAAUAUGAGACACGCCUCUAAAUAUAUCCGUUUGAGCGUGAAUUAUUACGACACGGGUGGAGUAUAUUACUCGAGCAUGCGGGGAUACACUGCGUUAUGCAUGCACACCAGGCGAGGGACACGUACGUACGCAGCGUCCACGUGCUACUAGCUAGCUAGCUGUGCUUGAUGACAGAGACGAGACGUGUUGGAAGUCGGCACGUAGUCGCGUAUCGAGCCAGCCAACCAUGUCGGCCGCCUGAGACGCUGCUGCGCAGUGCAAAUGGCCACAGUGCAUUCGCCGCAGAAAGAUGAUACAGUGCGCUGCCGACGAAAGCGGUCAGUGUCACCACGCACACAUGCUUGAGCAUGGACAGGGCCGCAUGGACGACGGCGGCAGGUCGGCGGUCGUGGCAAUGUCGUGAGCCCGUGCCGUGCCGGGUCCAUCUCCUCCCGCACGCAGUAUGCAUGCUGCGGCUAGCUUAAUUCGUUCGUCUUUUCAGUCACGAGGCCUGCCAAAAAUCUUAUGGUACAGCUUGCUCGAUCUGUCCGUCUCAGCUAGAAUCACGCCGGCCCAUAGCUAGGCACAUGCAGGGACGGAGCCAGGAAUUUGAUAUAGGGGAGCGAGUUCCACACUUGAAUUUUUACAGACUAAUGAGAAUCGACCCAGGCAUAAAACAUUUAGACCGUGAAAAAGGCCUACACUGAAAUCAUGUUUUCAUUGAUGUAAAUACUAGAAGAAAACUACCAAAUUGUCCAUCUUUGACAAGGCAUAUCAGUUUUUUAGCAAAAUUAGGUACACUGUAGUACCUAUAUUAUUCUAAUCCAAUUUUCAUGUGCAUCAACCGAGGAUCAUUCAUGUUAGACAAUUUGCUUAAGAGAUUUGAAGUUGAACUUGAUGAGAGAGGUGGUAUCAUCGAGCAUAGAAGACGUCAUGUUCACAUAGCUGAGAGCAUGAAGCCAUGAACCAAUUGGCUUGGAAAUUUUAUGAAUUGGUUGAGCUAUCUUCCUCUUCAAGUCUACACAAACACAAUUAGACAAUCUAGAAAAUUCUAACUUGUUUUCAAUGUCUAUCGUUCUACAUCUCUAAGACACAAACUAAUCUAAUCCUGAAAUAAACUAACCAUUUUUCCUCAUCCGAGCGGCCCGCCAAUGGACCUGUGAAUCAGUGCAGCAGCGCUUCCCUGUCGCCUUCCUUCUCGACGGUAGCUGAUCUACAAGGCGGCCGGCUGCAGCGACCAUGUGUUUCGGAUCGCAAGAACUAGCAGAUCGAAAACGAAGCGAUUAGAGGAGAUGGAACUACCGUGAGUACGUGCGUCUUUAGCCUGGGUCCUUCUCUUCCGUUGUGGGCUUUUUAUUUAUUCCUUCUACUGAUAUUUGGGCCUUCUCUCCCACGGAUUACUACUAAUUGCAUAGUAUAAGUCGNNNNNNNNNNNNNNNNNNNNNNNNNNNNNNNNNNNNNNNNNNNNNNNNNNNNNNNNNNNNNNNNNNNNNNNNNNNNNNNNNNNNNNNNNNNNNNNNNNNNNNNNNNNNNNNNNNNNNNNNNNNNNNNNNNNNNNNNNNNNNNNNNNNNNNNNNNNNNNNNNNNNNNNNNNNNNNNNNNNNNNNNNNNNNNNNNNNNNNNNNNNNNNNNNNNNNNNNNNNNNNNNNNNNNNNNNNNNNNNNNNNNNNNNNNNNNNNNNNNNNNNNNNNNNNNNNNNNNNNNNNNNNNNNNNNNNNNNNNNNNNNNNNNNNNNNNNNNCCCCUCGUCCCCCCUUGAAAUCAUCCCUGCUGGGCACAUGGUGCACCAAUCGUCGAGCAUUGAAGGGAGCGCGUGUAGAUAGAUACUGCUAUUGGCCUGCAGAACCAGACUCUAUCACCCUCGCUUUUAGUUCUCCUGACGCACCUUGUCGUCAUAUACUCCCUCUGGUUCAAUAUGUAGUGCGCAUGGUCUAUAGCUCCAAAACCGAGGCGUGACGUGGAGUUGUACUUUUGGACCAAAGUAACCUUGCAUGCACACACUCUGUACACAUGCAUGUGGUUGGAAAAAAAAUCAUAUACGACCGGGUCGUACAGGACCCAUCGUGAGACCCUCUCCCGCACGUUGUUAGAAUUAUUUGUCCUGCAACUAUAUUCAAAUUAAUAGGAAUUACUAAUAUUCAGAAUACCUCAUUAUGGAAUUGUACAUGUAUUUGUGCAUGGAAUUACUUUAUCUGAUUAUCAUGGAAUUAUCACUUGUUGGAAUGUACUUAAGUAAUAUAUGCUUAAGGAAGCUGGUCGAUUAUCAGUGGAAUACAAUAUACUGUUUAUAUUGGAAAGACUACCCGGGUACACUAAUGAUUGGAAGGAGCUAGAUCGUAUAAUUAGAUUACAACCCUAAUGUUGAUCUACAUAAUUAGAGGAAUUUACACUCUAUUAUGGCGCGUUGCUCACAAGCGCGUGCUCCGGGGACAUAACGGGUAGAAUCCGUUAAACAGACAAAUAUAAUCGUGGUUGGUUAUUUGAUCUGGACUCUAUCCCAGAAACUAGUGCAAAAUACUAGGAAUCUUAUAUCUGUAUAAGAGGUGGACUCUUUGUAAAGACAGUAUAAGAAGGUCCCUAUCCCCUAGCCUCAGAUAUGCGAAUUGUGAGCGGCACCACGGAUAAACGCAGAGGAAUUAGGGGGUAGACCGCAAACCCUAAAUUUCUAACAUUGGCAUGAAAAGCAAGGUUCGUCCGAUGGAUGAUCCGGCUAUCGCCGGAACAAUCGCUGAUCCGCUGCGUAACUCUGCCGACUUGGGAUGUCGCUCAUCCUCAGCGUAGUAGCCUCUGUCAGAUCGAUCUGUCGCCGCCGCUUUUCUGGUGCUUAGCUUGAUCCUGCCGACCCGCUGCCGUGUCCUACUCCCGCGGCGCAGUCUGAUUUUUCAUCGUGUGUAAUACUUGUGCGCCGCUGCCGAAUCCCACGUUCUUGUGUUGCGUAAGCACCAGGUCGCUGGAGUAUUUGCAUUCGAUCGGAGAGAUAGGAGUACUAUACUACUACCAAUCGUGCAGGGACAACUUUACAAGAUUAAAUACGUCACUCCCAGUGAGAUAAUUUCCUAUUGCACAUAGAUCGAGGGAUCCUGCAAAGCAAAGGACAUGCCCAACUUCUGCUCACGUGGAUCGAGGAACAAUUUUUUGCUUGCUUCUGAUUGUACUAGCAGACUCACAAUGGAGGGCCGCAAGUAAUAACUCGCGUACACCGAAGACAGUCUACGUUUGUUCUCUGAUUCGGGUUCAACAGAUCGAGAAGCCAUGCAAGUUGAUACUUCACCAAACUGAGAACCCAAGGAAACACAGAUUGCUAGAGGUUCUGACUUUUGAGCGAUCGAGGAAUAGUACUACUUGCAGAUGAAGUACUACUUUUGCCCAUCAAUAAGCAAUUCAAGUGGACCGAGGAAGGAGCACAGAGACGUGCUCACGUCAUUUAUUCAGUGGAUUUCUGAAGUCUACGGAUUAGAUCGGUAACAUUUUUUUUUCAAUAAUGACACCCAAUGGUAUUUUUCUCUUUGUUACUUAGAGCAUGGAAAUUAUGAUUACGUGACUCUAUUAUCACGGUUUGAAAAUAGAUAAUAAUUGUUAUAUUUUCUACGGAGAAUGUUGCUCACAUUAUUUAACAAAACAAACCGGAAAGGCAAAAUUAAAAUGUCAUUGUUAUGGUAAAGGAAAUAUAUAAUGUGACACCUGGAAUAUGGAUAACCAAUGACUUGCAUAAUUAUUUGGGGUUAUUCAAUUGGUUUUUUUACUAUUCAAUAUGAGAGUGAUUACAUUGCAUGAAAAAUAAUGUGCAAUCGGAAACACCUUCUUUUUGGGCGGAAUAUCUCUCGGAAAUUAUAGAUAGUUGGUUUCUUAGUGCAAGUCACAGUUGUCAUAAACUAUAUGCCAAAAUGGUUGGAAUAAUUUUAUAUACACUUGUCACAGUGAGUGGUUAUUUAAUCUAUCCAAUAUGGGAUACUAUUUGGAGGAAGACAUUAAAAUCUUUGAGGGAAUGAUCUGACCAAUUAUGGUUGAUUACACCUUGAAGAGGAAGAUAUAUUUUUUUGCUAAUAGAAUUGGCUAAGAGGAAGUGCCUAUUAUGGAACAUCACUUAUUUAUGGAGGAAGAUGAGAACCACUCCAUGGAAAAGGAAAUUUGCUCGCACUUAACGAGCAACUUUAUUGUCGUGCAACAAUUUCAAAGGAAAAUUGAUGUACUUUGGAUUGGAAAUUAUGCCAUAAAACUCCCUUGUGGAGGAAAACUAUUAUUGUUAUAGGACACUAUGUGCAACUUCAGUGAGAAGGGAUUUGGUUUAUUGUUCUAUCUUGGAAUUUAUUGACUAUCUUAUACUUUGGAAAAGGAAGAGUGGAAAUAUUGCUCAAUAAUAAAAUUAGUGCAUUAUGGAAUUUCACACAAUGGUUUAUUCUUUCUUGAUGGUCCAUUGGAAGUUAGCAACCCAAAUUGUUACUUGGGGAAGAUAACUCCAUAUGGAGGAAUAUCGACAAUGGGAACACAUGCUUGGAUUUAUCGACAUCAUGAACGACUUGGUCACAUAUCUUGGAACCGGAUCAAGAGGCUUAUUGAUUCUGGAAUUUUAACCUUUAGUGGGAGGACUAUGGUACAUGUGAAGCACAUUUUUUUAAUAUACCUUUUUUAUUAAGGUGGAUGGAGAUAAAAGGCUUCACAUCGUUUCUAUUUGAUAUACUUAUGGUAUUUAUUUGGACAUCCCCACUAGAGGUCUGAUUAUUUAUUAUAUCUCAUUCAUUAAUGAUUGCACUUGAUAUGGUUAUGUAUAUACUUUUUCAAAAUACAAGUCGGAAGGUUUUAUUUUGUGUUGGUCACAUGUUAUACUGAAGUGGAAAAUUAGUUGAUUAAAUAAUACCAUAAUUUUAACAACCGAUUGGUGGGGGAGCACACUUCAGGAAUAUAUCGUUUGUAUGUAAAGAUCAUGGAACUAUUCACCAUUGAAAUAUACCGUACACUCCACAAUUGAAUGGAGGAAUUGAAUGUCUUGUAUACUCCCCUGGAAAGAAGCAUUGUGUACUGUCAUUUGUUGAUAUCAUUCUCCAUCUAGUACAAUCACUUGACUGGAAGGAAAUCUUCUAUUUUGGCAUUAAAUUCUCAGUUAUUACAAAGCGCACACCAGGAAUUUUUAACAUUGGUUAUUCUAGUGGAUCAAAGGGUGUUUCCUUAGUUAUCUGGAAAAGGAAUACUGGUGGAAAGUAGGAACACAAUAAUUUUUAUGAUCAAGAGUGGAAUUAUUGACAAUCAUACUAGAAUAUAAUCUUGACACCAAGGAAACUACAAGUGACACUCCCAACAUGACUUGCUCAGAAUAAGUGGGAGGAAUUAGCUUGGAAUAUCAUGUCUGGAUAAUUUUUAUGCGUUGUUGGGGGAUGUCACUCUAAAUUUUAGAGGAAUCACUAAAUUCUCUUAAGUUUUUUUUUCAAUGUCAACUAUGGGUGGAAGAAUUGCGGGAAAGAAUAAACUCAAAUGAGGAAGAGCAUAGUUUGGGAACUUAAUAUCAUACCAAAUAACCGCAAGCCUAUUUGUCUGGAAGUGAUUUUUUUUGUAAGGAUAUUUGGCUCACUGGAAUAUUUAAUGUCACUCUUGUUAUUCAAUUAUUCACACAGAGGAAAAUAUACUUUGUGGAAACUCCCUCUCCUAGAAUUUUGGGAAAGAGGAACUAAAUACAUGGUUUGCUAAUUGAGUAUAUUAAUGUAUGGUCUUAUAACAAGCUUCACAUCAAUGGAAUAGCAGGUCAUAUGGUUUUCUAAAUGAAGCAAGGAGGUCAUCUACAAAUGUAAGUGCAAAGUAUUUUACAUCAUUAUUGUAUACGUUAACAUUGUUUUUGUUGUUUGCAAUGAUAAAGUCACAUUGAUGGAAGUGAAAGCUUGGUCAUCUUUUAACUUUCAUAUGAAAGGAACAUUUGAAACAUCCUAUGUUUUACGAGUGGAAAUACAUAGAAAAUAUUAUGAAGUGUUUCUCUAUGGAAAAUUGCAAAUCUGUUAAAAUACCUUUGAUAAAGGGAAUCAUACUUAGUGAGGAAUUAUAUUGGAACUCCUGAGGAAAAAUGAAAUAAUAAAUGGUACUGGAACUCGUAUAUAUCUUCAUUAUAUUAUCAUAACUUAGCUUUUGGAAUUUAUGCUGCAUUCAAGCAGUGGAAGGAAAGAUGAGCAGCUAAGGGAAUCUCACACAUUAUAUAAGAUUGUGGAAAGUGCAUCACAACCUGUCACUUGUUUUGAAAUUUAUAUUAAAGGUAAACACAUUGAGGAAGCUAUUACUGUACCUAUGAGAUGAGAAAUAGGUCCACGCAUAUCCUUUUUUUUGUGAAGUACUAAUAUGGUGCAGAUUCACUGACCGAAGUCAGGGAUUUAUUUCCAAACAUGGUUUCUUAUGGAGCUUCAUGUACUAAUUGGAUUUGAUAUUAUGUGGUUUUGGAAAUUGUAUUCAACAUGGUUACCAUCUAUUUGACUCAAUGUGGAAUUAAUCAUAUUAUUGAUAUAUGUGAUGGAAAACAGUUGACGCGGAAUUUUCACUUGAGGAACAAAAUACUCAAGUUGCCAAUAAAGGUGGCAUUACACUCGAGGAAGGAAUACUUGAGGUGUCGAGGACAACUAUGCUGGAAUAAUUAGGCGGAAACUAAAGGUCUCUAGUGAUCUUAAGUGUCACAACAAGGGAACAUACUGAGGGAAGGUAUCACUAUAUAUUUCUUUGGAUUUUCAAUGUAGUGUUAACCUGGUUGCUGACCCCUUGACUAAGCCUAUUAGUUAUGAGGAAUUUGGUAAGCAUGUUAAGGCUAUGGGUUUACGAAUAUUUGAAUGAUUGUUUUGGACGAGUGGGAGAUGUUGGAAUUAUGUGUCCUGCAACUAUAUUCAAAUUAAUAGGAAUUACUAAUAUUCAGAAUACCUCAUUAUGGAAUUGUACAUGUAUUUGUGCAUGGAAUUACUUUAUCUGAUUAUCAUGGAAUUAUCACUUGUUGGAAUGUACUUAAGUAAUAUAUGCUUAAGGAAGCUGGUCGAUUAUCAGUGGAAUACAAUAUACUGUUUAUAUUGGACAGACUACCCGGGUACACUGAUGAUUGGAAGGAGCUAGAUCGUAUAAUUAGAUUACAAUCCUAAUGUUGAUCUACAUAAUUAGAGGAAUUUGCACUCUAUUAUGGCGCGUUGCUCACAAGCGCGUGCUCCGGGGACAUAACGGGUAUAAUCCGUUAAACAGACAAAUAUGAUCGUGGUUGGUUAUUUGAUCUGGACUCUAUCCCGGAAACUAGUGGAAAAUACUAGGAAUCUUAUAUCUGUAUAAGAGGUGGACUCUUUGUAAAGACAGUAUAAGAAGGUCCCUACCCCCUAGUCUCAGAUAUGCGAAUUAUGAGCGGCACCACGGAUAAGCGCAGAGGAAUUAGGGGGUAGACCGCAAACCCUAAAUUUCUAAUACACGUGACACCUGGCGAUACGAAUCUUAAAGCACAGCCUUCUCUAAUCUCUCCAGCGGCCUCAAACAGUCAAAGUACAGUCGCCGUUGUGAUGCGCCAUGGCUGCUCGCCACAUCGCCGCCGGCGUGCUCCUCGACGUCAGGUACACCACCCAGCUCAGCGCGCUCCAUUCCUGUCGGAAGCGGCGACGUCCCCGUCGGCCACGGCGAUGUUCGUGGGCGCCUCCAAGGGCACUAUGCAUGCUGCAUGCACUCUUUGGCUGCGCCCAAAUUCACUAAGUUCGCUACGUUUGGGCACCUGUAGAUGACUCAGUCAGCACGUUCCUGUAAUUUGUUGGUGCUUGACUUGAGCUUGGGGCACCGAGGAGUGUGGUUGUAAAUGGCUGGGGGGAGCAGCGGGGAUGGAGCUCCGGUGCUUCCUCAACAGAGCGAGCAGAAGAGUUGUGGUGGGGGCGGCCUGCGGCGACGAGCGAGCGUUGGCAGCGGCGACGACGACGAGCGAGCGCUACAGCAGCAGCGGCGGCGGCGAAGAAAGGGUCUGGCUAUAUCUCAUCUAGAUGUGAGAUAAUCUCACAUCUAAGUAUGACAUCAAAAAAUAACAGAUUUGCUAUUUUACAGUCAGCUGUUUUUCAAUUCGUCGUCAUUCGAAUUUCUGUCCGUCCGUUCUGGCAUCGAGAUUCAUGCUCGGUCGCGGUUUUUUGGGUCGGGUUUUUUUUGUCGGGCGCGAUUUUCUCUUUCCGCCCGUUUUCCUCGGCUGCGCGCCCGCCCGGCCCGUCACUGUUUGGCUUUUGUUGUUUUUGAAUUAGGAGCGGGGUGUCGUUCCCCCAUUUCCAUUUUGAUAAGGCAGAGGCGGAGAGCUCCAGCGGCGGAGGAGGGGGAUGCGAUUCCUUGUGUUCAUGGCGAUUUCGAGCUUGUCGACGGCAGGAUACUGACUUCUUCCUCUCGUUUCUCGCCGCCCGCGGCUGCUCUGGUUCGUUGUCCCUGUCUCUCGCGCUUUCGCCCGUGGUUUUCGUGUCCAUGUAGUUGCAGAUCUAGGUGAUUUUUGGUUUCGCGGAUCCGCGGGGGGUGUUGUUGCUGCCAUGGGGUGCUGCUGUCGUGGUGUUCUAUUUCUGCCACGGGGUGUGUGCGUGAAUUUUUGGUAGGAGUGUGUGCGCCACGUGCAGUCUCAUUUGCCGCGAUCCGUGUGUCGUCGUUGAGGUCGCAUACCAAAUCCGCGUGUUGUUGGUGCGCGCGUGAAAUACUUAGCAUGUUGAUGAUGUGUAGGCAGGCGUAGAGGGAAGUUUUCCUGCAGUUGAUGUGGAGGUAGGCGUUGUAGGCGUUAGUUUUGAGCGGCGGAUCGCGUAGGUUGUUUGUGAAGAUGGUGUUCCUGGUUGUAGCCCCAGUAUGUUGUCAUGUUUGUCUCAUUUUUGUCCCAGGUUGUUGUUCAUGCCGGGUUUUUUACUGAACAUCUCUAUGUAUUUGUUCAUUUUGUUGUGCAUUUUCAUCAUUUACAUGCUUGUUUUUCAGUGUUUUCAUUAUAGGAGUGCAUGUAAGAUCCAGGGUCUGCAGUUGUACGCGCAUGAAGUUAUGCUGUGUAUUUUCUCACCCUAGCAGUUGACCUAUAUUCAAUGCAUCUUUGUGCUGUAGAUCUUCACUGCUCCCUUAUGCGCCAUAUAUAGCUUUGCUGUACUUUGUUCUUUUUUAGUUAUUAUUUGUCCCCCUUGCAGUAUUUUUUGCCCAGUGUUUUUAUUAUGUUCUAAUUGAUGUGCAACUUGCUCCCUAACUAGUGUGUAUGUGUAUCCUUUUGGCAUCAUUUCUAGCUGAAGGGGCAGGGUGAAUUUUUUUCUAGCUGAACUCUUGCUGUAUUCUGAUGCAAAAUUGCUGUGUAGUGGCUCUGUAGUUAGACUGUAACGCUUUCACAUUAUACACUUUUUACAGUGUAACAACACCCAUAAUUACAGUGGAAUCUGAUGCCCGUUUUACAGUGUUUUUCCACUCAUAAUUACAGUGUAUUUCCACCCCUAAAUACAGUGCACUUUUUACAGUGUACUUACUCCAAUAAAUACAUUGGAAUUACAGUGGAAUGUGAUGCCUGUUUUUUACAGUGUUUUUCCACUCCUAAUUACUGUGUAUUUACUCCAAUAAUUACAGUGAAAUUACAAUGGAAUAUGAUGCCCGUGUUUACAGUGUUUUUCCACUCCCAAUUACAGUGUAUUUUUCUCCAAUAAUUACAGUGGAAUUACAAUGGAAUCUGAUGCCCGUUUUUACAAUGUUUUCCACCCCUAAUCACAGUGUAUUUUUCACCCCUAAUUACAGUGCACUUUUUACAGUGUAUUUACUCCAAUAAUUACAGAGGAAUUACAGUGAAAUCUGAUGCCUGUUUCACCCCUAAUUACAGCACACUUUCUUACAGUGUAUUUACUCUAAUAAUUACAGUGGAAUUACAGUGGAAUCCAAUGUACAGUGUAAUUUUACCCCUAAUUACAGUGUAAUUUGUGGCUAUGUAAGCUGAUGCUCUGUUGGUUCAAUGUACCUAUAAUUUCUUUGUAGUUUGUACAGUAGCUAGACUAUAACCCCAUUUUUUUUGAAUUGUUUUUUUCUAUUAGGUUAAUGCUGUUAAGUUGCAUAGGUUUUGCACUUCCACUUUACUCUUUUUAUUUGAUUCCCAUUUCCUCUCUUGCUUUUCAGCUAGUAACUCAAUGGGCAGAAUACGGAAAGUCUGUCCCAAGGAUGCCCCGCUAGUUUCUUCUGUUGAGAGUGCUGAUUCUUCAAAAGAACCUUUCGUGCCUAACGAUUUUGCUGAUGAUAAUGCUAUGUCUUUGGUAGUUAUCUUUGUCUUAUUAUCUUUCAUUCUCAGUUUUUUCAUAUGCAUUAAUAUUAUUUGUUUAUUUGUGUGAACUUCUUCUUAUUUCAGGAUUGUUCUGGUGAUGAUGUAGAGCUUGAUAAAGCUCUUUACAAUUUCUAUGUGAACAAUGUAAGUAUUUUGUUUGAUCCAUUUUUAUUUUUGAUGAUUAUAUUUUUAUUUUUUAUCUUUUUCUUAUGUUGGUUUGAUGUUUAUGUAUUUGUUUUGUGUAGAAAGUCAAGCUCCUGAAGAGGAAAUUGUCUUCUGUUAGUAGAAUGAAUGUUGUAAGUCUCUUUUUCUCUUCUUUUUGUGUUCUAUGUUCCAUGUUCUUUUGUUAGGGGAUUCCCCCUCUGUAUCUUCGAUUUUUUUUAUUUCUAAUGUAGUUUUUGUUAUAUUUUUUUGUAGAGGCAGAAACGAUCUUCCGAUUACCCUGUUUGUGCGACAUUCACUCGAUAUUCUGGAAAGUUCUUCUCACCAGUUGUUGAUGGCUUGUGUUCUAGGUACAAGGGUGUUAUUCAGAAGUAUGGCAUGGGCUGUCUUCUUAAUUUUGUCCGGACCGAGGUUCCUCUUAGGCUAGUUAAGUGGCUUGCAUCUAGGUUCGAUGUUCCUGCUUCUGAGUUUCAGUUGAAAAGGAAAUUCAUACCCUUAACUAAGUAUGAUAUCCAUGACAUCCUUGACCUCCCAGUAGACUGUGAGCCCGUUGUUUCAGAUCCUGAAGCUGGUCGUGAUUUUAUCCUUUCUCAUUUCAAUCUUACCAGUAUCCCACCAGUGUCCUUUUUUGCCAACAAGCUAAAAUCUGCAGAAGUUGAUUUGUCUGAUGAGGACGUGUUCAUUUGUUUCAUGAUUGUGGCUUGCUCUACUUUCCUUUGUCCCAACUCUAGUCUUAGUCCUAGUCCGAAGUACCUCCACAUCUUUCAGGAUUGUCAGUCUGUGUGUGCCUAUGAUCUUUCUAGUUUUGUUUACGAGUGGCUUUUGAGUAGCAUCAAAAAAAUUCAAGGAUGCUACUAAAGUUGCUUCCAAAAGAUCAGUGACCUUCGAUGGAUGCCAUUACGCUUUUGUUGUAAGUUUUUUUUAUUUAUGUUCUCCUUAAUUUAUUUUGAAUGUUAAUUAUUUAGGUUAGUGCUAACUUGUUUUUGUUUUGUUAUGUGUUUGUUUUUGUUGGUAGCUUACCUUGAUCAUUUGAACUUUGGGCUUCACUCUGUACCUGAUGUGAAACCUUAUACUCUUGCAUGGAGGGGUAACAAAGUCAAGCAAUUCGCAGAGCUUGACCGAAAUAACAGCCGCUCUUUUGGAAAGAGGCCACUGAAACGCCUCUGUGCUCCAAUUAAUAUGCAGGUUAUCUUCUUUUUCUUUUCAUGUUUUGUGUUUAUUUUUAGUUCAUUGUUUCUUUUAUUCAUCCAUUUUUACUUUUAUGUUUUGCCGGUGUAUUUACUAUUGUUUUUGUUUCAGGGUUCUGUUGAAAAAUCCACAGGCAGUAAGAGUUUUGGUAUUGGUCCUUCUGAUGGUUCUUUUGCAAUGAAAGUUCAAAGAACUAUUUGUUCUCACUUUGGAUCUUAGGUAUUUGUUCUGGUUAGAUUGUUCUUUUUUGAUUAAUUUUUUUGUUGCUUUUUGCUGAUUUUGUCUCUUGUUCAGAGUGCUUUGGAAGUCAUUGAGCUUGUUCAGACUAGAAACCAAGACAAGCCUAAUAUAUUCAUUGAUUGGGCAGAGUCUCUUGUUUUAAAUGUUCUGGAAUGUGUGUUGAAUUCAUCUGUGCCCAAAGUGUCUGGAAGCGAGCAUCAGUCUAUGAGCAAAUUCUCUUUUGGUUAGUUCAUAAUCUUUUCUUUUUUUGUCACAUGUAGCUUUUGUAUUUUUAUCUUCGUUGUUGUAGCGUUAUUUAGAUUGCUUUUCCUGCUUGUCAUCUAUUUGUUUUUGUAGGUAAUAAGUCUGUCUCAUUCAAUUCUGCUAUCGCCAAUGGGGUUUUUGCUAAAUCUGAUGGUAUUCCAGAGGUUGCUAAAUUCGAUGUUGUUCCAGAGGUCGCUAAAUCUAAUGUUGUUCCAGAGGCUGCUACAUCUGAUGGUAUUCCAGAGAUUGCUAAAUCUGAUGGUAUUCCAGAGGUUGUUGUCCAGCAAGAGAGUCGUCCUGCUGUCACUCUAGAGGUCGUUACUCCGAUUGUCCCUCCUGCUGUUAUGUUUGGUGGUUUACAUAAUCCAGUUGUGCUAUCUAGCUCUUCAACACCUGCUAAACUGCGUAAUGAGGUGCGCAUGUUCUUCUUUUCUUAGAAUGCUUUAUUUCUAGUUUUAUUCCUUGUCACAGAUCUUUUCAAUUUUUUUCUCUUGAUUUGUAGGCUGUUGCAAAAGAAGGUCCUGUUCCAGUAUGCACUUUGUUUUCUGAAGAUAAAGCGAAAGAUUCAAUUGCUGCAGUACCACCUAAAGGUUCCAUAUGCUCUUUUGUUUUGUUUGUUUUGCAUAUUAGUUUCCCUAUUCUAUUUUGUAUCUUCAGUUGCUCUGUUUUCAGGUUGUGUUUUCUUUUCUUAUUUUUCAGGUAUUUCUCCUUCAAAGUCUAGAUGUGAGAUCACUGAUGUCGAUUCUUUCGUGUUGCUUUCUGGUAUUUGUUUUAGUUAUUAUUUUCAUGUUUUUUCCAUUUCAGGUAUUUAUGUGAAUUGAUUUUUUUUAUUCUUUUUGUGAAGAUGGCCCUGCUAAGGAUUGUGAUGACAAAGAUGAUGUCAAUGCUUUUGGCAUUCCAUCUUUAGCGGAGCUUAAUCGUGUUCUUGGCAUUCAGCCUCCUGCUAAUGUCUGUAAUGACACGCCAGUUCAUGCUCAUGAAAAAUCUACUAUUGAAGAUACAAAUUCUUUUAGAGUCCUGUCACCUCUUCUUCCAAUUCGCUUGUCGCAGUAUUUCCAUAAUGAGGUUAGUAUUUUUUUCUACUUCAUCUAUUUUUUUCCUGCAUUUUAGUAUCUAAAUUCAUCUUUUUCAAAUUUGUUUGAUUUUCUCAUGGCUUUUUGUUUUCGGUAUUUGGGUGAUGUCCAGUGUUCUCAGUAUGUUGUUGAUAGAUAUCUGAAGUCGUUCAAUUCGCCUAAUGACGAGGUUUGUUGUUGUAUUUCCUUUUUAUUAUUUUCGUGUUGUACUAAUUUUUAUUUUUUUUAAUUCUUUCUCUAUUAUUUUUUAUUCUGUUUCUUCUAGGAUUGUAUUGUUAUGGUUAACGUUGCUCACUCUGAUCAUUCAAAGCCAACCAAUUAUGUGAACCCGCCCACCGUGGAUUUAUGUUCUCCUGAUGUAAUCACAAAACUCCCAAAGCUGUUUUGAAGGUGAUUUACUUUCUGUAAUGCAUUUAUCUUUUCUAUUCAGUAAUGCAUUUAUCUUUUUUUCUAGCUAGUUUUUUGAAAUUUUAUUCAUGCUUUGUUUAUCUUUUUUAUGUGAAGCUCAAUGAGGCAGUAUCUGAUGUCCAAAAAGUUGGUAGCUCAAACUUUUCAGCUAGGUGUCAAGAGCUAUCUAGAUCAAAUGACGUUACUUACAACAAGAUGCACAAUUUUGCUGCCCCUGCAACAAGUUAUCGUAAUUCUGUCAAGGUAUAGGUAUUUAUUUAUUGGUUUUAACUUUUUUUAAUGCUUGUAUUUUGUUUUUCAUUUUUUUCCUUUUCUUUAUGCAUUUGCUUUGUUUGAUCUUUCGUCUUCUCACUUUUCAGGUUGCUAAUAGCCCAGAAUUAGAGAUCCUGUCAGACAUGCCUGUUGUUUCUAGUGCUCAUCUUUCUAAAGUUGCUUCAUGUUCGAAAGGUGCCCCAUCAUUUCAGCCUGUGGUGGUUCUACAACUAGUUCUUCUGCAGCUCAUGUCCCUCGUAGAAUAGUUGUCCCUGGUAGAUUCAACUCAGAUCCUUAUGUUCCUCAAGUCAACCGUUAUUCAGUUACGGCUCAAGAAAGGCGUAAUCAUCUUGCAAUGGUUCAGAUUGCAAGUCAUCCAGAGUGGUGCAAGUAAGUUUUACUAUUAGUGAUGUUUUUGGUUUUUGUAUGUCCUUUUUUUAUGAUUCUGAUCUUUGUGUAUUUCUUGUAGGUAUGAAGCUAUUCGAUAUGAAAGAGCUUACUGCAGUUAUCGUAACCUUUCUUCACUUCAGUUUAAAUCUCGUGUAGACAAUUUCUUGAUCUUAUGUGUUUGUCGAUAUCUAUUCAAUGAAGCCCACCCUUCCGUUUCCAAGAAGCAUUUGUUCUUCUCUUAUAUUGGUGUAAGUAGUAAUAAACUUCUCUUGCAAUUUCUGUUGUCUGUAUAGUUUGUUUUCUUUUUGACUCACAAUUUAUUUUUUCACUUACUUAGGAAACUAUUUUGGAUGGUACUGUUGCUGAGAUUGUUGGUAAUGCUUUCAAUGAUGCUAAUAGUGCUUUUCCUAUGUGGAGGAGCAAUAUGGUAGGUGCUGAUUAACAUCAUAGUUUAUAUAGUCAUAUUUUGUGUGUGUUAGUCUCGUGUAGCUUUUCCCACAUAGGUUUUCUGAUGUGUUGUUUGUUUUUGCCACCUGUACUUCCCUAUUUGUAGGUUCAAUCAUUGGUUUUCCUUUGUGGUUUGCUUGAAGGAGAGACUGUUUGUCUUCCUCGAUUCAUUAUAUGGUGAGUUCUCAGAUUUUCACCUAGCCAUUCAUGAUCAGAUUGUAAGUUUUUUCUUUGGUUUAAUGUUUCCUCUCUAGAUUCCCUUUUUUGGUUUUUUCCAUGAGUUUCAUGAUUUCUCUUGUUCCCCUGUGUUAUUUCAGGUUAAUAACUUCACCAAUCUAUGGGACACAUAUGUGAGUCCUAUAAUGAGGAAGCGUAUUAACAUUGAAAAUUUUGACAUUGUGUAUCCCGCGGUGUGUCAGCAAAAUAACACGUAUGUCAAACAGUAUCUUUCUUUCUAUGUGGCAUAAUUGUUUCUUUCUCUCUAUUCUUAUUUUUCAGUUUUGAUAUGUGGCAUAAUUGUUGUUGCUCAUUUUUCUUUUCAGGUAUGAUUGUGGUGUUUUCUCAGUGAUGUACAUGAAGCACUGGACUCCUAGAACUCCUAUUGGCAAUCUUUUUACGCAAGCCGAUAUAGAUAACAUCAGGAUCAAGCUCGCAAAUGAACUUUAUUUCAGCACAUUCAACACUGCUCGCAAGUCUCUUGUCACAAACUUCUUUGGUGACGUGAGUGUAGUCUCUGAUUAUUAUUUUUGCCUUAGUCAUUGAUUGAUUGUUUUUAUCUUGUAAGUGUUUUUUGACUAUUGUUUUGACUUUUCUGGCAGGCACAGAACUAGAUAACUUUUCCUUUUUGGGUGGUGAUCGAAAGUGAAGGUUUUUCAUGGUCAUCAACUGCAGAGUUUUCUUGAUGGUCAACAAGUCUGGAGAUCCUUCGGUCUUUUAUUAGCUUGUAUAGUUUAUCAAUGUGUUGGUUUUGAUUCAAACAAUAUUAUGUUGGCGCAAGAUUGUUCUAGGUUAAUGUACUUUUUGGGGCUGAUGAGUUGUAUCACCGUCUUUGUAACAGUUCAAGCCCUUUUUGUAUUUGGGAAUGUUUUUUCGCACGGUUUGUUUUAGUUUUACGAUGCACUAUAUUGAUUCAUUUACUCAAUUUCUAUAUCUUUGUUGCCUGAAUGAUUUUUCAUGCAGUCUAUUGAUCCAUCUGUAUGUUGUAGUCUUUUUCUAUUGAUUUUGGCUACAUCUAGCUUACAUCUAGUAUUAAGUAAGUUCUCUCCUCAAUAUCUACUUUUAUCAGCAUAUAGUAAUUGUUUAUAGCUAUUUUCCACAUCUUAUUCUUUUUCAUUUUGCUUUCUUUAAUUUUUUUGCCUCUUCUUAUUUUGUUGCAGUGUUGCUUUACAGUUCCAAAGUUGUUGAAGAAACUUCCAAACAAGCAAAUCUAUGACUAUCUAUCAAGGUAUUUCAAUUGCCAGCUUUUUCUCGCUGCUCUUUCUUGUCUAGUUUACUUACUGUAUUUUAUAAGUUUACUCAAUAAUCUUAAACAUGUUGAAUGUGAAACUUUCAUCCCGUAAGGCACAAAUAAUGCACGAAAUUCAUGCCUCAUAAAGUAGCCUUUUCAAUAGACAGUAGGUAGCAAACAAUGCUUGCCCUCUUAGUACAAGUCAAGUAUUUUGUUCAUAACCAUCUCUUCCCUAGAGUUCCCUAUUUUCCUUUCCCUUGUCAUCUGCCUUGCUUGUCCUUUCUGUCUUAUCAUAUGUCCUCCUCAGAUUCUUUCCUGCUAAGCCUCUGUCUUAUCCUAUGUCCUCCUCCCAUUCUUGUCCCCUAAGCCUUUGUUGUUGCUGAUUCGUCCUUCUUCUUCUUUCCUAUGUUCCCAUGCUUGCUGCCAUCCUUCUCCCCACCUGCAUUUUUUGUUAUUUUUAAAUUCUUGAAUUAAAGUAAGUGUAGCACAGGGGUACAAGAUGAUUAUUAAAAUACCUUUUUUCACAUUCCUAGGGUUCGACUGCUUUCGUCUGUUGCUUCUGGGUAGAUUGUAUUCUUUGUCAAGGUUGGUGCAAUUCUUGAGAGUGUGCCUUUCCGAUCCACAGUGCGAGCAUUUGUAGAACUUGUUCUGUUUUAUUGCUUCGCUAAUAGUUAGCAUCCUUGUCCUACCCUUUGUUUUGGCUAUAUCUGGGUCUUGUAUUGUCAGUGCCGUGGUUGUCCCCUCUUCACCCCCUGUUGUUGGUAUGAAAGUGACUGUUCUUGUGGUUACACUCUGUCCCUCAUCUCCAGUUUCUUCUUCAUCAUCCAUUUCUCGCAAUCUUUUCUGUAUCUUGUCCAAUUCUCCCAGCAGAUAUUCAUACUUCCUCUUCUUCUUUGAAGCUAUUGAUGCCACAUGCAACAAUUUCCUUGCUAACACAUUGUACCUUAGUGUGGAGUUCUCUGCUGCAACAGCUGGUGUCUUUGCAAUGUCGAGCUUGUAGUCAUUUUUCCUCCAUCUGUCAAUGAUGUACUUUUUUGGCAUCUUCUCGAUGUUGAGAUGGAUCAUUACUCGUAGUAUGUGUGAGCACAACAAUCCAUCUUUUUGGAAUGUGCAACAGAUGCAGGAGUACUCUUCUUCUUUCAGUCCAACUUGCACUAUGUAAAACCUUUCCCGGCGUUCUUUUACAGGGUAGUUUUCAGCUUGGGUAACUAUAUAGUAUUUGUCUUUUUCUUGCUCAAAGACAUGCAGCCUUGUUGUGUCUGCCAUUUUAUGUUGAAACUUUCUAAAUAUUCCAAGGUUGUAUAGCUCAUGCGAUUGCCUUUCUAUGCUGUAUUUUGACCAGAACGCUUUGCUUGCAACCUUCUUGUUUCUAGAAACAUGAUCACAUUCUUCUUCCAUGUCAUGUACAACAUCAAGAAUCCGAUCAUACUCUCUUAAAAAGCUAGUGGCACUAAAUUUAGCUCCAACCCCUUUUUUGAAGAGAGAAUUUGUUCCUUCACUUCUUGCUGUAGUUUGUAUGAAUGGGAAGAAUUUGUCCUUGAAAUACACCGGUAUGAACUUUUUCCUGUUUUCCCACAUGUCGCUGAAGUAUUUUAUGUCGUGUACUUGGUACUUUUCAAUCAUUUCUCGCCAUUGUGUUUCAAAUUCUUCCACAGUCAAAGAGUUGUCCACAAUGUCCUGAAAAUCUUCAUAUAGGCCUUCAUUAGCUUGGAAACAUGGGCCUACUUUCUCCUCUGCCUUUUUCUUUAUGUGAAACAGGCAGCUCCUAUGGGUAGCAUUAGGAAACACUUCUUCAAUUGCUGCUUGCAUAGCCUUGUCCUGAUCUGUAAUGAUCGAUAUAGGAUGCGUCCCUCCCAUAGCCAUUGUUUCUUUCGUCUCGUUGAUAAUGAAGGAACAAGCAAACAAGUAUGUGCUGCCAUGCGGGGAUAUUCCAACAAAGGGUGCAAAUGGAAGGUUGUAUCUGUUUGUCACGAAUGUAGUGUCAAAACUGAUGCAGUCACCACAAAUGUCAUACAUCAUUCUUGACCUAACAUCUGUCCAGAAUAAGCUUCUCACUUUAUUAUCUCCAUCAAGCUCAAAUGAGUAGCAAAACCCAGGAUUUUCUGCUUGCUUCUUGUUGAACAUGUGCACUACUUCCAUCAUGUCAGAGUUUGUGAUAUCUCUGUUUAUUGUUGCUGCAUAGUUAGUCACAUGCUUCUUUGUGUAGGGAAGAUGAGUCAUUCCUCCUCUCAAGUAAGCUAGGACAACAACAAUCCUUCUUGUUUCCAGGUUAGUAUGCUUCAAAACCCGUAUCAAGCACUUCUCUUCAUCCGACAUGUACUUAUGUGACCUGAAGAAUCUACUGUUUGGUGUUAACUCGUGGUUGUGUUCGAGUUGUUGUCUUGUAAUUUCCCAAAAACCUCCUUUCUCUGAUAUGACCACCACAACUUUACAAUCAGUUUUAGCAAUAACUGUACUUUUCCUCGUGGGCACAAUGCAUUCUGUCUCUAUUUCCUUUGUUUUGCCCCACUUGUUGCACUUCAUAGUGAUCCUUGUGACCUCGUUGUUCCUCUUCUUGCUUGUUGUUCUGGAGAUUGCUACAGUAGCCACUGAAAAGCCUGCCAGUUUCAAGUAGAAAUUUAUGUAUUCCUGAGCUUCUUCCUUUGUUUUGAAUUGCAUGCCUAAUUGUGGCUUGAAAUUACUGCUAGUGUUCAUCAGAUUGCCUUCUGAUGCAGCAUCUUGUUCAUUUUGCAGGAAUCCCUCAACGUCUUCUUCAUCGAGGAAUUUAUCAUCUCCGUCUUGUUCAAGUGAGUGUUCUGGUUCCUUUCUUUCUCCUUCUUCAUUGCUAUGGCAUGUGCUUGAGUUUGUUUUGCCUGCUGCUCCCCUUAUGUCAACAUCAUCAGGCUCCUGCAACUUUAGGGUUUUGUGUUAGUUUUUUCUCCUGAUGUAAUGUGUCAACUUUCUCUUAUGUUCAUCGUUUGUUCUUUCCGAAGUUUUUGUAGUUUGUACCUGUUGCAGAUUCACGUUGUAGAACAGGUUCGUGUCCCAUGGAUUAGUUUCUGCUCCUCCAUCUUCACUUGCUGCCACUUUGUGAUGCAAGACUCCCUCCAGUGUCUGCAAAGUAUGUCAGUAUAAAGAAUGUUAUUGUGUUUCCUUUGGUAUUUCUUGUAAUUGUUAUUGAGCGGAUAUCUUUCCUUACAUUAGUGUCUAUUGUUGUGUUGAAAGUAUCAUCUGCUUUGCUCCUGGAGUUCUGCUCAAUAGUUCCCAUAAUAUUCAUCGAUGCAUCUCCUGAGUGUACCUGCAUGAGAUAUCACACCUUACAAUUAAGACAUUUUUGUAUCAUUUUUUUGCAGUAGUUGAUUUUUUUGUAUUUUUUGGAAUUUCUUACCUUGUAUAUAAUGUCUGAAUGAAGGAGGGCAGUGAAUGAAAAUUGAUCCUGCAGCAUAAUCAUUUCAGUAUUUUUUUUGCAAACAUAUUGAACAAGCUCAUGCAGCAUAAAUGAAGGGGAAAAGUUUAGCUACUGUAUAUUACAUUGAGUAUCAGUUCUUCUUGUGACAGUCUCAGUAGGUCUUCUUCAGCUAGUACCGUCAUCAUGCUCCUCUCCUGAACCCAUUUUUAAAUAGAAGAACGUCAGGAAUUUUGCGUUGUAAAACUCUAUAACUACUCUAGUUUUUACUAUUGGAUUUACAAUGUGAAUAACUGCUUAUUACAAGUUAACUACAAUAGUGUUCACACUAGGAUUUUUACAUUUCGUAAAGCAUGGAAUUUAUAGUACUUUUUACACUUUAAAAUUACACUGUAAAUAUCUCUGGAAUAUACACUGUAAAACAUGUUUUUACAGUGCAAAUUUACAAUGGAAUUUACACUGUAAAUAUCUGUGGGAUUUACACUGUAAUUUAUGUUGUUACACUGUAAGUCAUGUUGUUGCACCGCAUUUCCCACUGUAAAACAUGUUAAUUUUACACUGUAAGUCAUGUUGUUACACUGCAUUUACCACUGUAUUUCCCACUGUAAAACAUGUUAUUUUACAGUGGAAAUUGUGUUGUUUUUCCACUGUAAUUAUAUGUGGGAUUUAAACUGUAAGUCAUGUUGUUACACUGCAUUUACCACUGUAUUUCCCACUGUAAGUCAUGUUAUUUUACAGUGGAAAUUGUGUUGUUUUUUCACUGUAAUUACCACUGCAUUUACCACUGCAUUUCCCUCUGUAAAACAUGUUAUUUUACAGUGGAAAUUGUGUUGUUUUUCUACUGUAAUUAUAUGUGGGAUUUGCACUGUAAGUCCUGUUGUUACACUGCAUUUACCACUGCAUUUCCCACUGUAAAACAUGUUAUUUGACAGUGGAAAUUGUGUUACUUUCCCAAUGUUAAUCUAUUGAACAGAUGCCAUGAACAGAUCCCUAAUUUGAUGUAAUUUCCUAGGAAAACAGCAGAUGCUAAUCUAUUUCUUUUUGUACUUGAAGGAAAUCCCUCCCCGAUCUGUUCGUGCGAGAGGUGGGGAGAGUAGUGGGAUGUUUUUUUUGCUAACCUGUGAAUCCUGACGCUGAUUCCCCUCUGAUGAUCUUCCUUGAUGCUCGUCAGGUACAGCAUCUUGAAUUCUCUUCUGAUUUGUGUUUGAGCUCCCUUCUUCUUCUACCCCAUCGCCCAUGUCCGCCUCCAUGUUCUCCCUUCUUCUCUUCUCCCCCUUUCUGAUUUUGCUUUUUGUUUGUGUUGUUAGGUGAGAUUUGUCAAGUGGUUUGCGGGAAGGGUUUGGCCCUGUUUCGUGCGUUCCAAGUUGGUCACCUGCUAUGUGGGCCUGGAGAUCGACAGAGGAUGGGGUGGGACCCUGAUUUUUCUAGAGUGGGUUAUUGUCGAGGGUUACCGGGUAAAAAAAUUUCCCCGACCCGUUUUGGUGUUGUUUUUCCGCUGUCGGAUGUUUUUUGUGGCUGUACAGCUGUCAUCUGUUUAUUGGUCUGGUUUUUUGAAUGUUUUUGAAUUGGAAAACAUUCAAGCGUCAAAUAGACACUCCCAAAAAUAAGCCCACCUCUUACUUUUUUUUAACAAAAAUCUACUAAGCAGUGUGUGCAUGCUGGCUUUCCCGUGCGGCCAAUGUGUGAGCCUGGUACAUGCGCGAGCGAUGGUAGCCAACAGUCCAUUUUUAAUACCGGGUUUACUUUCCUCUAGUUACAGAGCUAUGCAUCCAUCCAUUCACUAUCGUUAACUACAGUAAUCGCUACAGUACUACAGUAUGUUACAGCGAACGUGCAUUUUGCUUUUGCACAAAAAAUUGACACAUAGUACCUUGUUCACGUCAGAUGCAUAUGUCAAAAGCAAAAAAAAAGGUUGGACUUGCUACUGGGACAAAAAAAGUCUAGGCUCAACUGCGAGUCGAGAGUGUUGCAGACAACAAAAGGUCAGGCCCAGUUGCGAAUUAAGGGUGAACUUGCAACUGGACAAAAGAAAGUCAGACCCCGGUUGCGAGUCGAGGGUGGACUUGCAACUGGGGCAAAAAAUGGCCAGCCCCAGUUGCGAGUCAAGGGUGGAGUUGCAACUAGGAUAAAAAAAGGCCGGACACCAAUUGUGAGUCGAGGAUGAGAUUGCAACUGAGACAAAAAAAAUUAGACCCUGGUUGUAAGUCAAGGGUGGACUUGCAACUGGAAGGAAAAAAAUUGGGCCACAGUUGCGAGUCAAUGAUGGACUUGCAACUGGGAAAGAAAAUGACCGGGCCCCAAUUGCGAGCCAAGAGUGGACUUGCAACUAUGGAAAAAAAUGUUGGACCCAGUUGCAAGUCGAGGGUGAGAUUGUAACUGAGCCCAAAAAAGGUCACGCCCUGUUGGGAGUCGAAUGUUGACUUGCAACUGGUAAAAAGUCAGGCCCCAGUUGCGAGUCAAGGGUGGACUUGCAACUAGCACAAACAAAAUAUCGGACCCCCAGUUAUGAUGCAAGGUUGGAUUUGUAACUGAGACAAAAAAAAGGUCACACCCUAGUUACGAGUGGAGGGUAGACUUGCAACUAGGACAAAAAAAUGUCAGGCCCCAGUUAUAAGCCGAGGGUGGACUUCCAACUGAGACAAAAAAAGAUUGAACCUCAGUUGCGAGUCAAAGAGUGAACAUGCAACUGGGACAAAAAUGGUUGGGUCCAGUUGCGAGUCGACGGUAGACUUGCAACUGGGCGAACAAGGUUAGACUAUCAACCGGAGAAAAAUGGCGGGCUCUAGUUAUGAGUCGAUGAUGGAGUUGCAACUUGGACUAAAAUGUCGGACCCUUAGUUGCAGUUGAGGGUGGACUUGCAAUUGGGACUAAAAAAGAUCGGUCUCCAGUUGUGAAUCGAGGUUGAACUGCAAUUGAGACAAAAAAAGGUUGGCGCUGAGUUGCGAGUCGAGGAUGGACUUGCAGCCGGGACAAAAAAAAUCCAGGCCCCAGUUACGAGUCGAUGAUGGACUUGUCAUUGAGACAAAAAAGUGAAGACCCAGUUGCGAGUCAAGGGUGGGAUUGCAACUAGAAAAAAAAAGACAGGUCCUGGUUGCAAGUUAAGAUUGAGCUUACAACUGAGACAAAAAAAAAGACAACUCCUUUAAUUGUGGACAAUCAAUUGGUAGUGAUGGAAAAAAAUUCAUUAAUAUUUAAAAUGGAAUGGAAAAGAGAAAAAGAAAAUAAAAAAUCAUGAACUAAAAAGUUUACAAAUUUGAAAAUAAAAGAAAGAAGGAAAAAACAAAAUAUCAAAAAAUUUCUUGUGGCCGCAGCCCACGCUGAGAAAACACUCGAUGGAUGUGAAAAAGAAACAACAGCAUGACAAGACCCUGCACGAGCGACGCGUAUAUUGUCUACAAAAAGCAACACAUACAGAGACAACGUCAAACAACAAAAAAGAACCAAAGAACACAAAUCUUGAUGUCUAAAUCGUGUGUUUAGAAAGUUAGAUGUGAGAUAACUAUUUCACAUCUAGAUGUGAAAUAGCAAACCUGGCGAAGAAAAGGGGAUUAAGGAUUUGGUAAACGGGAUUCACGGGUCUUGUGCUUUGAGAUUCGUUUCUCCAGGCGCUAGAGAGGGUCUCACAAUCAGUCAUGUACGACCCGGGUCGCAUAAGAUUUUCUCAUUGUAUGGCUGCACAUGCGGUGAACAGUUGAGGGUAAUGUCUGUCCAAAGCAGCUCAUGCGCACUACAUUGUGGAAUUCUAGCAAAAAACUAAUACGCACUACAUAUGGAACGGAGGGAGUACUACAUUAUGUAAAAAACGAAUGGUAUUUUUUACUGGUACACUGUCGAUUUACUGCUCCUAAGAAUUUCUCAUUGGGUUGCAUGGAUGACGCUGGAAAGGAAUACAACAAAUGUGUGACCGAAAAGAUGGCGGGUGGCGAGGGGCCGGGUUGAUGGCGACUGAAGCAAGCGUGCCGAAACAAUGUGUUGGUCCGGAACAAUCCUUAUUGAUCGAGGUAACUGUAAGAGAGGAAUAGAGAGGAAAUUGGUGACAUUGUUGAUGUAUUGCUUAAGCCUCGUGGACAUAUAUAUACAGAAGUACAUGAUCAACUUGAAAUACAAGACAAGGUAGAACAGAUCCUACGGUAUCCUAUCUUUCAUAACUAAUCGCGAUGCUUAGCACCCCCCGCAGUCACAGCGGUAGUGACACAGACGAUGAGAAUGAAGAAGAAUCCGAGAGUAAACGGCGGACAUCCCCCCACAGUCGUAAUGGUCAAUGCAUCACGGAAGUCGUGGCUGAAAUGGAAACCGACUAGGUUGUUCAUGCAAGGCACAUGAUGCACCAAUCGUCGAGCAUUGAAAGGAGAGCGUGUACAUAGAUAUUGCUAUUGGCCUGCAGAACCAGACUACUCUAGCUUUUAAACCAUCUCCAAGGCACGACCACAAACAGGCAUCCAUUUUGUUCAGAUUUCGUCCGUUUGAGGGUGGCAAUGGGACAACACAGUUAGGUACUAGCGCAGUUUGUGUUGUAAAUGGUUCGGUUCCAUGGUCUAUUCAUACAAUUGGACAGUUGGUUCUGUUUUUAAAGAAAAAGAGCAAUGGGUAGGAACAUGGGAAAGAUGGCAAUCAUAUCUUAGCCCUUGGUUGCAUGCUUUGGAUGGUCAGAUUAGGGCCAACUGCUUAAGUUGCAGUUUUAAUGUGUCACUGCACCUGAUUUGAUCUAUCCGCUUCCUAUUGAGUAGAUGCCAACUACUCUGCCAAAUGCAUGCAUGUGUUUGCUAGUUCAAGUUUUAUUAUGAAAACAUAUGCAUGCAACAUGGAACAUAAAGUUGAAACAUAUGUUUGUUCAACAGACGUGCAGGCAAGCAGCGCUCCAUAUAUACCAUGUCCGGAUUCAUUCCAACAUAUUUCAGUAUCCGAAUCCACAUCCAUCCAGCUUCCCAAUCCGAUUUUCUUUUAUGAAAUAUGAUAUGGUUUGGGUUCACUCCGGUUUCAGUCCUAAGAGCAGCAGAAGGUACGUGUUGAUUGAGAGGAUCAAGUGAAUUUUGUUUCAUUUGUUCCUAAUCUAUCAUAAGUCCUUUUGUUGUUUCUUUUCUGAUGCGCUUGUAACCACUGGUCAUCCCAGUGUUAUGUAUGGUGUGAGCAAUUCUUUGCACUCUUGGUCGGUGACUCUUCGGGGCAUUCCGUCUAAAAAACAUGCAUGUGGUACCCCAUAAGCAUAACAAACUAUCUUCAUGAGCUAGUGAUAGAACAUGGUAAUUAGAAAACAUCCUUUCUCCCCCAUAACCAACGCCACAAAUGUCAAACACGGAAAAGAUCGAAAACUACAAUCAAGGACAUCAACUCUUUCUGAUACAAUUCUCAAAUUCUAGUAACCAGGUUCAUGUAGCACUUGCAUACACACGCAAAUUUAUUAAUAGACAAUACACCGCCAUGAAAACUAAACAUUUCAUGAUUAAAACAAGAAGAUAGAUUACCAAACCACCUGAUUAAUUAGCCUGCCCGUAUGAGCGAACCAUUCCAGGGCUGACUUAUUAAUGGAGAAGGAUAAGUUGCCUUUAGCCAUCA